AGGUUCUCGUGGAAGUUUGCUUUGCGUUUGCGCAGAAUGCAUGCAAAAAGUGUUACUAUAUCUUCAACUCUUGCAUACUCACUCUUCCUAUUCACAUCUUCAUUUCUUGCAUAUUCAUCCUAGUUGCUAUUCAUACCUUCCAAAUUACAAAUCCAAGUCUUGAUGGGUUCUACUGUUAAUGAAGAAGAUAGUAACAAACCUCUUCAUAUUGUAAUGCUCCCAUGGCUAGCUAUGGGACAUAUAUACCCUUACUUUGAAGUAGCCAAAAUUCUAGCUUCAAAGGGUCACACUGUCACCUUCAUCAACUCCCCUAAAAACAUUGACCAAAUGCCAAAAACACCCAAAACCAUUGAACCAUUCAUCAAAUUGGUAAGAUUGCCUUUACCACACAUAGAGCAACUCCCACCAGGUGCAGAAAACACUAUGGACAUUCCAAUAAACAUGAACAAAUACCUUGAACUAGCCUAUCAAGGUCUUCAAGAUGAUGUUACUGAGAUUCUCAAAACAUCAAAACCUGAUUGGGUUUUCUAUGAUUAUGGUACUGUUUGGUUAGCACCAAUAGCUAAAAGCCUAAACAUAGCUUCUGUUCAUUACAGCAUAACACCAGCUUGGAACAUAUGUUUUUUUGAUCGACCUAAGGAUCAAAUCAAAACAAAUUUCGAAAUUCAAGACAUAUGUGGCCCACAUAAAUGGCUUCCUUUUCAAACAACUAUUCAUCUCAAACCUUAUGAGCUUAUUAGAGCUUUCACAGCUCUUAGAGAUGAAUCAGGUAACAUGCCUGAUUCUGGUCUCAACAAUGCUUAUUCAAGUUGUGAUCUUUUACUUCUCAGAACCUCGAGAGAGCUUGAAGGUGAAUGGUUGGAUUAUAUCUCUGAACAGUACAAUGUUCCUGUUGUUCCUGUUGGGUUGAUUCCACCUUCUAUGCAGAUAAGAGAUGAUGAAGAGGAAGAGAACAAUCCUGAUUGGGUGAAAAUCAAAGGGUGGUUGGAUUCAAGAGAAUCAUCUUCUGUUGUUUACAUUGGAUUUGGGAGUGAGUUGAAGUUGAGUCAGGAAGAUUUAACUGAGUUGGCUUAUGGAAUUGAGCUUUCUGGGUUGUCUUUCUUUUGGACUUUGAAGAAUCUGAAAGAGGGUACACUUGAAUUACCUGAAGGAUUCGAGGAAAGGACGAAAGAACGCGGAAUUGUUUGGAAGACAUGGGCACCUCAGCUUAAGAUCUUAGCUCAUGGAGCAAUUGGUGGAUGUAUGAGUCAUUGUGGUUCUGGUUCUGUUAUUGAAAAGGUUCAUUUUGGCCAUGUUCUUGUGACACUGCCUUAUUUGCUUGACCAGUGUUUGUUUUCAAGGGCAUUGGUGGAAAAGGAAGUGGCUGUUGAAGUACCAAGGAGUGAGGAAGAUGGGUCUUUUACUAGGGACUCUGUGGCUCACUCAUUGAGGUUGGCAAUUGUGGAUGAGGAAGGAAGUAGUUUCAGGAACAAUGCUAAAGAGUUGGGGAAGGUUUUCAGUUCAAAAGAUAUUCACAAUCAAUAUAUUGAUGACUUUAUUGCUGCUCUUUACAAGUAUAGGGUUCCUUCCAAUUCCAACAACUAAGUAGACUAGUAAUUUUGUAUCAUGUGUUUCCCUUCUUCUCAUAAUCAAUAUAUUUAUUGUGAUUUUUGUUUUGCAAUAAAAGGUUUUAUUUUAGUUUCCUUCUUCUCAGUUUUGUAACAAAAAUGUUAAUUGGCCAUCCUUCUAUAUCUGAUUUGUGAUAUGGCACUUUUUUUUACAAAAAAUUGUAUCUCUAGACUAAUCAUUCUCUUAAUUUCAUAUUGGUGAAAAUUGCUUCAAAGGACUGUAGUUGAUUAUCAAGUAUCAACUUCUGCAUUUGCAUAUCACAAACUUGGCAGCAGAAGUAGACUAGAAUUCAAUUAUGUGGUAUGAAAGUUUUACAUAAAUAAAGAUCAUAAAUGGUAUGCAUGUUUGAACAAAAUAACCAGAUCAUAAACCAAUUUUUUUUUUUUGUCAUUUUGUACACUUGUGACAUUGUGGUUGGCCAAUGUCGUCAGAUGACAUUGACACCCCAAUGUCACCCAAAUGUUUUCCGAAAAUGUGUUGGUGGGUAGAAGAAAUUCUAAUCUCUACCUAUGCUAUUUUGUAUUUAAUUCUUGGAUUCAUGAAUGUAAAAAAAAAAAUAUUACUAAGGAAGAAAAUUUACCUCUUAGUUAGAUGGCAAAAGAUGCUCUUAAUAUUCAACUGAAGUGCAAAUAAGAAAUUCAAGAACAGAUAUAAAUAAAUAAUAUAAAUCAAAACAAGGCACUUUGAAAACGACAACAAAAAAUUUGCUAAACUUUAAAAUUAAAAAAUUCUUAAUUGGCUCCCUCAAAAAAAAAAAAAAAAUUCUUAAUUGGCUCUCUAAACUUUUAAACAAAUUGUAAAUGGUCCCUACCUACAACAUAAUUAGCCCGAAGUUAAACAAGUACAUUGUUCACAAGUCAUAAUUCAACCGUUAAGAAUGUUGAAUUUUUUAGGUCAAACCUCAUGGUUUGAAUCCUGAUUUCUUUACUUAUAUGUGUGUCUAAUAAUUUUCAUUUCGUUUAUGAAAAAUAAAUAUAACCAAGCUAACAUUUAUUAUUAUUUAUUAUUUUGUCUUUCAUUUAUAUUCUUGCAUAAAUUUUGAUGAAGAGUUUUGACACUCAUCUCGGUUCUACCCAAUUAUUAUUAUUAUUGGUGCGUGUAGAUGAUAUCCGAUUCAGACCGCAGACUUGCCUAACCCCUAAAUAAACAAACAAAUGUGUGUCUCCUUGACUUACUCGUGCACAAUUUAGCGGAAUAAAUUAGUAGAUGCGCGUUUCGCAUGCCACUACCAUCCAUUUCUAUUUCUUCCCUAUAAUAAUAUGCCAUCAUCCUUCAAAAAAAGAAUAUGCCAUCUUUUUCAUGUAUUGCAGCAACAACAUUCAUUCAUUCAUGGAUAACAAGAAAAACAAACCUCUUCAUGUUGUCAUGUUUCCAUGGAUAGCCAUGGGACACAUGUACCCAUGUUUUGAGGUUUCCAAGAUUCUUUCACAAAAUGGUCACUUUGUCACACUCAUAUCUACUCCUUCAAUCAUAGAUCGUCUUCCUAAACUCUCACAAACCCUUUCACCAUUUUUUAAUCUCAUCAAACUUCCCUUAUCAUCUUACAUUGACAAAAACCAUCUUCCAACAAAUGCAGAUUCAACCAUGGACAUUCCCUCCAACAAACUCUAUUACCUUAAACUAGCCUAUGAUUCUCUUCAAGAAUCUGUAGCUGAGAUACUCAAAACUUCAAAUCCUGAUUGGGUUUUCUAUGAUUUUGCAGCUAGUUGGUUACCACAGUUAGCAAAAGGUUUGAAUUUGAACAUAUCAUGUUGUUAUUUCAGUCCUUGUCCUGCAUGGAGCAUAUGUUUCUUUGAUACACCAAAAAAACAACUUGGUGAUGAUUCUGCAGCUAUUAGAACAAAUGCAGAAGAUUACUAUGGUCCACCUAAAUGGAUUUCUUUUCCUACAAAGAUUGGUUUAAGGCCUUAUGAGGUAAGAAAAUUGCUUGAAGAUAUCAAAGUUAAUGAAACAGGGGCUUCCCCUGUUUUUGAUCUAAACAGAGCAAAUUCAGAUUGUGACAUGUUUGUUAUUAGAAGCUCAAGAGAUCUUGAAGGAGAAUGGUUAGAUUUUCUUGGUGAGUUUUACAACAAGCCUGUGAUUCCUGUUGGAUUGCUUCCACCAAGAAGAGAUUCUUCUGAUGAGGUAGAAGAUAGUCCUGAUUGGAUUCAAAUCAAAGCAUGGUUAGACACACAAAAGAGUUCAUCUGUUGUUUAUAUUGCAUUUGGGAGUGAGGUGAAAUUGAGCCAAGAAAAUCUCAAUGAAUUAGCUCUUGGGAUUGAGAAUUCUAAAUUACCUUUCUUUUGGGUUUUGAGAGAUUUGAAAAAUGGUUUUGUUGAGUUACCAAAUGGGUUUGAGGAUAGGACAAAAGAUCAUGGUAUAGUGUGGAAAAGUUGGGCCCCACAACCUAAGAUCUUAGGUCAUGGUUCAGUUGGUGGUUGUUUGACUCAUUGUGGUUCAGGUUCAAUGAUAGAAAAUCUUUAUUUUGGACAUGUUCUUGUUAUGUUGCCUUUUUUAUUGGAUCAAGCUUUGUAUUCAAGAGUAAUGCAAGAGAAGAAAGUUGGAAUUGAGAUAGUGAGGAAUGAAGAAGAUGGAUCAUUUACAAGGAAUUCAGUUGCUAAGGCAUUGAGAUUUACCAUGGUUGAUGAAGAGGGAAGUGAUUAUAGGAAGAAUGCUAAAGAGAUAGGGAAGAAAUUUAGUAACAAGGAGCUUCAUAAUCAAUACAUUGAAAACUUCAUUUCUUCACUUCAAAAUCACAAUUCAUAGGAAUGUUUAGAAGUAAUUAAGUAAACAUUCAUUUGAAUUGAAAUAAAAACCUUUGAUUCAACUUGUGGAGAUAGGACAAAAAGGUUGUUAUUUGUUUGUGUGUAGGGCAUAUCUGUUCACUUGCCUCACCUUAAUUCUUUCAGGUCAUUGCCAUUAAUUUCUACAUUUGACCAAUUUGUAAGCAUCAGCCCUUUAGAAAUUCAAUAUACAUAAAUUGGUGGGGUGAAUCAAAUCUAAAAUUUUAGUGUGAUACAAAUUUGUAUUCCUUCCAAUCACAUUUAUAAUCAAAAAACAUUUUCUUAGGUUUAUUGAAUGAAUAGUCAAUGUAUCUGGUCUAUAAAUAUGAUCAGAUACAUAAAUUAUUCAAUGAAUCUAAAAUAUUAUUUUUUAGUUAUAAAUGUGACGGAGGGAGUAAUUUCUUCAUAUAAUAUUCUUGUUGAAUGUGAAACUUAGUCGAUGAUUCGGUUAAUAGUCUUAUUAACGAUUCACUUUUUCUUAAAAUGAUUAAGCCGGUAUAAAUGAAUUUCGUCUCUAUGCUAUGAGAUUUUAACUACUUCAAAGAGUAUUAGUUCUUCAAACGAUUAGGUCAAUAGAAAAGAACUGCGUCAAUGCUACGAGUCCUUUAACUACUUCAAAGAGUAUUAAAUGGGGUAAAUAAUUUUAAGAACUAAAAUGCGAAGAAAAAUAUAAGUAAAAUGUUAGAGGCAUAUAAACAUAAAAUAAGUUGUUUGAUUGAUUGAGUGUGUCGAUGGUAAAAUUUACAAGUGAUAGUUACAAACCAAGAUACUAGAGUCUAUAUGCUAUGAGAUUUUUUUUUUGUGCUAAAAAAAAAAAUUUACAAACCAAGAUACUAGAGUCUAUGUCCUAUCAUCCAUGAUCUUGACCAACUAAAAUAGUGCCCUCAUUUCUCUCAAAAAAAAAAAAAAUAGUGCCCUCAUCGUUACUCGACUAUAUAAACUAUAGUCACAUGAUCGUGUGCAUGCUUCCUAAAAAAAUUGUUGUGGGGAUUAUCCCUUAUUUUCUUAAAUAAAUAAAUUUAAUGACAAGAAGUGGACGAUAUUAAGUCCUCUAAAAAAAUGGACGUUAAGGAUGAAUUAUUGGCAUGCUCUGAGUUAGAACCCUUCUUAUUGCAGCAAUGACUAGAAUGACUCUUUUCAGAGUCAAGUUAAAAUCAAUUUUAACACCUUCAAAACAAUUAUACAUAAGUAAAAAAAUCAAUUUUGACACCUUCAAAAUUGAAACAUACUUGAAGAAUAAGUUUGUGUCUAAAAAACAAUUUUAGAAUCAAGAGAUCUAGAUUCUUGCUUCAAGUUAAAAUUAAUUCUCCAAUUCUAAAUACAAAAUCAAUUUUUCAAAAAGAGUAACCAACAACAACAUCAACAAUCAAGUCUUUUUUCAUUAAGUGGGGUCGGCUACUUCAAAAGAGUAAUCAAAUAUAUCAAAAUCUAUUACUCCCUCCGUCCCUAAUUAUAAGAUCCUUUGGAGAAUUUUUUUUGUCCCUUUUUAUAAGACCCCUUUGUUAUUUCCAACUACAUUAAUUAUUUCUUUACAUACAUGCCCCUAUUUAUUAUACAUCUUUUUCUUCAAUCAGCAAUAAGUAGCAUAUGGAAAACAUAAACUAACUCUCUCUCUUAAGGAUAAAAUUGUAAAAACAAUAGUGAUUACAAACAACUUUAAUACAAAUAUCCGCUUUCUUAAUUCCCGUAAUUUUAGCAAAAGAGUCUUAUAAUUAGGGACGGAGGGAGUAUAAAAUUUAUCCCUAAUAAUCAAACCAAACAUAGUUGAAUAUACUCCAUCCGUUUCAAAAUGAGUGUCACUUUAGCAAAAAAAAAAUUGUUUCAAAAUGAAUGUCACUUUGCAUUUCCAAUACAACUUUAAUUUUUUUCUCCCAAUUUUACCCUCAAUAAAUACUUCAACUUUUCUCUUAAACAAUUUUCAAUGCAACUUUAAGUUUGUCUUUUUCUUGUGCAGUUUAGUAAAAGUGUCAUGGCUAAUGAUUAUUUUAUUCCAUUACUUAAUUUGUGUGCAAUUAACUAAAACGACAUUCAUUUUAAAAAAGAUGGUGUAAAUUUCUUGCGGUCAACAAAGGCCGCAUUCACGACAUUAUUGAUCGUUGGGUCGAGAUUAGAUUUCUAACAAUUUUUUUUUUAUUUUUAAAAAACUACUGAAAUCUAAUAUUUAAUUUCUGCAAUGCUGGAUCUUGAUAUAAUGGUCAUCAAUGUUAGAAUGGUUUUUUAUGACCGCAAGGAAUCCAUAUUUUACAUAGUCACCGUAAUAUUGACUUCAACAACGUUAGAAUUUCUCAGCAAACAGCCAAGCACCACCACGUGACAAGAGAGAAGAACCAACACCAACAGUGAAAGAAUCAAUCCCAAAAGGCCAAAACACAAUCUUCUUUCUAUUUUACACUAAAAUAAUCAUUGCAUGGCUCUCGUGGAAGAGCAUAGCCUCCUCGUGGAAAUAAAAUAACGUUGGAUUGGAUGUGUUUUUUACAAGUAAUAAUAUAUUUGAAUGCGUGUCACACGUGGCAGUGAUUGUUUAUACAAAAAUAACUUUAUAUUAAUUAAAAAAAAUAACUUUAUAUUAAUUAAGACUUCGACUGCUACUAUAUCUUCAACUCUUGCAUACUCUUCCUAAUCAUAUCUUCAACUUUUACAUAUUCUUUCUACUCAUACAUACCAAACAAAUCCAAGUCUCCAUGGGUUCAAUUGCUAAUGAAGAUAGCAACAAACCUCUUCAUAUUGUAAUGCUCCCAUGGCUGGCUAUGGGACACAUAUACCCUUACUUUGAAGUAGCCAAAAUUCUAGCUUCAAAGGGUCACACUGUCACCUUCAUCAACUCCCCUAAAAACAUUGACCAAAUGCCAAAAACACCCAAAACCAUUGAACCAUUCAUUAAAUUGGUAAGAUUGCCUUUACCACACAUAGAGCAACUCCCACCAGGCGCAGAAAACACUAUGGACAUUCAACCAAACAUGAACCGUUUCCUUAAGCAAGCCUAUGAAGGUCUUCAAGAUGAUGUUACUGAGAUUCUCAAAACAUCAAAACCUGAUUGGGUUUUCUAUGAUUUUGCAAGUGGUUGGUUGGCACCAAUAGCUAAAAGCCUCAACAUAGCUGCUGCUCAUUACAACAUAACACCAGCUUGGAACAAAUGUUUCUUUGAUCCACCAAAGGAUCAAGUCAAAACAAAUUUCAAACUUGAAGACAUGUGUGGCCCACCAAAAUGGGUUCCUUUUCAAACAACCAUUCAUCUCAAACCUUAUGAGAUUAUUCGAGCUUUUACAGCUCUUAGAAAUGAAUCAGGUGGAAUAGCUGGUUUUGAUCUCAACAAAGCUUAUUCGAGUUGUGAUCUUUUUCUUCUCAGAACCUCAAGAGAACUUGAAGGUGAAUGGUUGGAUUAUAUCUCUGAACAGUACAAGGUUCCUGUCGUUCCUGUUGGGUUGCUUCCACCAUCUAUGCAGAUAAGAGACGAUGAAGAGGAAGAGAACAAUCCUGAUUGGGUGAAAAUCAAAGGGUGGUUGGAUUCAAGAGAAUCAUCUUCUGUUGUUUACAUUGGAUUUGGGAGUGAGUUGAAGUUGAGUCAGAAUGAUUUAACUGAGUUGGCUCAUGGAAUUGAGCUUUCUGGGUUGUCUUUCUUUUGGGCUUUGAAGAAUCUGAAAGAGGGUACACUUGAAUUACCUGAAGGAUUUGAGGAAAGAACGAAAGAACGCGGAAUUGUUUGGAAGACAUGGGCACCUCAGCUUAAAAUCUUAGCUCAUGGAGCAAUUGGUGGAUGUAUGAGUCACUGUGGUUCUGGUUCUGUUAUUGAGAAGGUUCAUUUCGGCCAUGUUCUUGUGACACUGCCUUAUUUGCUUGACCAAUGUUUGUUUUCAAGGGCAUUGGUGGAAAAGGGAGUGGCUGUUGAGGUACCAAGGAGUGAGGAAGAUGGGUCUUUUACUAGGGACUCUGUGGCUCACUCAUUGAGGUUGGCAAUUGUGGAUGAGGAAGGAAGUAGUUUCAGGAACAAUGCUAAAGAGUUGGGGAAAGUUUUCAGUUCAAAAGAUAUUCAUAAUCAAUAUAUUGAUGAUCUCAUUGCUGCUCUUUACAAGUAUAGGAAUCCUUCCAAUUCCAACAACUAGGUAGACUGAGUUCAUAUCAUGUGUUUCCCUUUGUUAUUGUGAUUUUUGUUUUACAAUAAAGGUUUAUUAGGUUCCCCCUUUUCAAUUUUGUAACAAAAAUGUUGGUUGACCAUCUCUAUAUACGGCACUGUGGUUUACAAAAAAAUGUAUCUCUAGUCAUUCUUCUCCUAAUUUCUAUGUUGGUGAAAUGGCCUGAGAGGAUUGUAUUUGAUGAUCAAGUAUAAACUUUUGCAAUUGCAUAUCUCAAACAUAGCAGAAGUAGACUAGAAUUCAAAUAUGUGGCAUGAAAGUUUUCCAUAAAUAAAGAUCAUAAAUGGUAUGCAUGUUUGAACAAAAUAACCAGAUCAUAAACCAAUUGAAAAUGUGUUGGUCUGGGCUGAAAAAAAUUAUAAUCUCUUAACUAUGCUAUUUUGUAUAUAAUUCUUGGAUUCAUGUUUGUCAAAAAAAUACUACUAAGGAAGGAAUCUUGCAUGACUGUGUCUCAGGAAAUUUACUUUAGUUAGAUGACAAGAGAUGCUCUGUAUAUUACAACAGUCAAGAAAGCAAACAAAAUUAGAAACCAGUUGUCAAAUAUAUUCACCUGAAGUGCAACUAAGAAAUUCAAGAGCAGCUCUAUGCAAGACACUUUGACAAAUGACAACACCAAAUUUCCAUCCCAUACCUCAACAUUCUAGUUGUUAUCAACCAAAUCAUUUUUGAAGGACAACUGAAGGUAUCAAUCUAUGCAACUGCUGGUAUAGAGGUGACAAAUGUGACGAGAAAGUUAAUAAACAGAACAUUUAAUAAAUAAACUAAAAGUUAAAAUCAAAGGUCAUCGAACCUAAACAUAAGAAUAAUAGGCAAGUCUCAUAAAGCUAGGAUGCUCUCCAAGCCUGAUUUAAACUUACAAAUAAAGAGGUCAAAUGAAGGAAAAAGAAGUUAUGAAAUAGAAAACAAUCUGCCCAUCUUUUAAAAUUGUAGCUUCCAAAAAUCGUAGAAAAUUUAGGAAAUAAACAAAACACCUUUGAAUGCGACAGAUGAAUAAAAUAUAUGACCUGUAUGUAAGUCACACAAAAUAAGAAAGGAAAGCCUUCCUUGUUUCAUAGAUGUAAUAAAAAAGUACAUAAGGCAAGUACCCUAUUACUAGGAAACUUUGUUAAAAUACAUAUUGUUUCCAAGAUAAACCAAUCUUACAAUGAAGUUAGACAAUAGCUUUUGUAAGCAUUUCUAUUAAAUGGAAAAAUUAACGAAAUGAACCAAACAGAACCCAUACUUCUAAGGAAGAAAUACUAUACACCUAAACUACUCUUCCAUUGUUCUGUUUAUCUAUAAUGCUCCAAAAUUGUAAUGAGCAUUUCUCGAUAAACCAACCUCUCAGUAUGCAUACAACAAUUCAAAUGUAAACAUAAAAAUUACCUUCCACAACAAUAUUAGAAAGAGGAGUAACAAAUCCAUAUCUAACUAAUACAUUCACGGUUAAGAAGGAGGUGUAGGAUGCAAUGAUGACAGUGGGAGCCUCUCCUUUCUAAGUUCCUUGACAAUAGCAGCAAGUGCUUCAGGAUUGACCCCAAGAUCACAGAGGGCAAUGAGAAUAGAAAGUGCAUGACGGUCUAAACCCGUGUCGAGUAUAUUGGACAUGUGAAAUGCCAGGUCCAAAGAUUCUCGUGCACUUCUGGCAGCUUCUGGAUCCAUGCUUAAAGCUGAGAUGUGAAUAAGAUGUUUACCGAUCAGAAUUGCGAAUAAAUAAACAACUAAACACAAGUUAAAAUUACCCUGCAAACUACUGUCUGAAACCUAUAGUCAAAUGUUUUAAAAAUGGGAGCGAAAGUUGAACUGGCGAGACCCCUAUUCGAUGAAUAUAAUGCUAAACUUCAUGAUAACUGAUGCACUGUGAUAACUUAUAAAAUAAAAUCCAUAACAAAUAAACAAAAAUAUCCAUGACAAAUACAUUAAAAUCCAUAACAAAGAUAAGUCUUCCUAAUAUAUAUUAAAACAUCAAAUCUCAUGUGGAUCAUACAAUCAACUAUGGGUGCCUGGUGGAUCAAGUGGACCAAUAUCACCACUUCAAAUAACACAACAGGAUCAAUGAAAAAUUUGAUAUGAAUAGGAAGAACAAAAAACACAGUAAGGUCACAAACUUCAUACAACAUAAACUAAGUCAACUAACAAAGAGUAUUGACAGUACAGCCUAUUUCAUUGACGUUCACAAACUUCAUUCAACUUUACAGCCUGUUAGUUUAUUUAAAGUUGGAAUAGGACUAGAGUCCCAUUUUCCUAAGGCUUUGUUUGCGAGUUUGGAGGGGAAGGCUUAGGAAAAAAGGAAUGAGCAAGUGGAAGAAAUAGAAGAAAAUGGGAGAGGAGGGCUUUGGGGGGUUAACUUUUCUUCAUAAUACAAAACCCUCCUCAUUUGGAGGAACUAAAAAAUUGUAUUGGAGGAGGGUUUUGGGGGGUUAAUAAGAAUUCUUCAAAUUUAAUUUAUGUUGUUAUAAUAUUUUUAAAAUUAAAAAUAAAGUAAUCAUAUGCAUUAAUUUACCAUUCUCUAAAAAACUACUCUUUUAAAAAAUUUGUAAGAUUUCUCUAUUUUUCUUCAUAUUUUGCACCCCUCAAAGCCUUUCCUUUCCUUCCCCUCCAAACUCGCAAACAAAGCCUAAAAGUCUUCCUAAUUGCCUUAUGUGAGAGAUUCCGUUGAUACCACUGGUUUUCCAAUAUGGAUCACAUAAUUAGGUGUCGCCAAAAGAAUAACAUGUGCAAUUUGAUUGAUAAAACAUGUUAGGCAAACUACUAUUUUAAAAAUUGAUUUGGUUAUUUAUAAUAAAAUGUGAUGAUGGAUCAUGAAUGAAUAUCUAAUGACUCCUAUUAUAACUUAACUUUAAAAUAAAACUAAAGUCAUGAGUAAUCUGUUCUUCACUGGACAUUUCAGAUCUGCAUUUUUGUGACCGCAUAAAAUCCAAUCCUCAAGGUUGAGUACUUGGAGCAGGUUCUUAGAGAAGCACACACUCGCCCAAGGAUUCAGGGCAUUGUAAUGUGGACAACAUGGUCACGAGAAGAUUGUAAGAUUUGCUUACUAGAUAACAAUUUCAAGGAACCCACUUGUAUCUGAUGAGUGAAAGUGUGAUUAUUAUUGAUAGGGUGACUAAAUUAUAAUUCUUAAUAGCCAUUAAAAAGAGAAACAUGGAGGAACCCAUUUUCCCCACACCAUCACUCGUAGGCAAGUUCUUGAAAUUAACAUCUAGUAAGCAGAUCUUACAAUAUUUUGGUCAUCACCGUGUCCUCCACACUACUCGAAGUACUCUAACAACAGAAUUGUUACAAGCAGUCACAAAAAUGAAAAUCUUAAAUGUUGAAUGAAGAAGAUUAAAUUAAUUGUAUUUAAAAGUAAAGUUAGAAUAUGAGUGUUUUGAUAUUGAUUCAACAUAUAAGAUUUUAUUAUAAGUAACAAAAUGAAGUUAUAAAUUGAACUGGUAACAUGAGAAAUGAUAGAUUCUAAUUAUGCGAUUCUUCAUUCCAAGUUUAAAUGGGAUUAACAAUAAGAAUUAAUAAUAAUAAUAAUAAUAAAUCACAGAUGAGUAAAGAAACAAUUAAUGAACGAGAAUAAAUAAAUUGAUUGUUGCAAUCGGGAAGCAGAAGGAUCAAUUGAUUCACAAACCUGUUGGUGCGAAGGUGAAGGACGUUUGCGGCGGUGAGAAGAAGAACCCAGAUUUUAUUUUAUUUUUUAAUAAUAAUCUCAGUCACGUGUUGAAACUUGAAAAUUUGUACGUAAAUGAAACAAAGUGGCAUAAAGAAAAAGAUAAAGUAAGUUUUUUUUUUCUUUUUUUCUUGAAGGAAGCGUAAAUUAAGUUAAAAUUGAAAUAUUUUUUUACAGACAUAUUUUUGACAUGCUUAUAAAAUUGAAGUAUUAAGAGUAAAUUACACUCCCCUCCCCUCAAAGUUGCUUGAAUUACAAGGGAGGGAAGUAUAAAUUUUACUUUUCAAGAGAGGGAAAUGUAUAUUUUAACAUAAGAGAGGAGGAGAGUGUAAUUCAAACAUCUUUAAGGGGAGGGAAUUGUAAUUUACUCAAAUAUUAAAUAUGAGAAAAGAGAUACUCCAUUUUAGAAUCUUAUAAUGUCAAAAUAAAUAAUUUUAUUAAAUGAGUGUAUAGAUAGAGAGCACUUAAAACUCAAAUUUGGAUCCGUACCUUUGAGUAAGAAAAGUUACCAUGACUUUAUGUUUAUCUCUCUUAUCUUAUCUAUAAUUUCUCUUUCAUCUUUGAUAAAAUAUAGGGUUAAUGGUGUUUUACCCUCUGUAAAAUAUUUUUUUUUCCAAAAAAAAUAUAUUUUACAGGGGAGUAUAUCAAAAAAAAUAUAAACCAAAAAUGAUCUAUAUUACAGGGGGUAAAGCACCAUUAACCAUAAAAUAUAUUACGCCCAAGUCAUGAUGACUUUCCCACCACUAAAGUCGUCACUGAAUCUCAGUCUUCAAAACUCUUGCACCUCUAUUUAGUUUUGGUGCUAAAUAGAAGAAACACUCUCCAUUAUGGUUGUUCUAAGCAAUCAUUUAUUUCAUGCAAUAAAACUUCGAAGACAACUAUUGUCAAAGAUGGUUUUUAUAAAUGAAUAAUAACUUGAAUCGUUGAAAACUUCAGUGAAAGGACUAUUAUAUGUGAUCAAAUCAUAUAAAGAACAAGUUAUAGUAGAAACUAUAGAUUUUGAAUUCAAAUUUGUGAUUUCAAUAUAAUGUUACAAAUCAUGGAAUUUUGUUACAGUUACCUCAAACUUAUUUCUGGUCUCCUAUGAAAAUUCUUUUCAUGAAACCAAAUAAGAAAAAUGGAAAUAAAAACUAACCCAAUGUAGAGAGGAUUUGAAGACUUAAAUCAAAUCCUCACACUCAAUGAAUGCUUCAAGUUUCCAACAUGAAGCAUGUGGUCCCCCAAUGGAACUUUUCUGUUACCAAGUUCAUCAACAACACUCAAAUCAUUGCAAACAUCUACCUUGAACCUAACCAUUCCUUCUGAUUUUCCUGCCAAUUGCACCUUUUCAAAACCCAACAAGUGUUUCUGAGGUGCAUUGUGCACAUUAGGAGGGGUAAAGAAUAACAACACUGAAUGGCUACUACUCAUUUUCCCCAUAUUCUUAACACUGAGAUGAAUAUCAAAUGCCAAGUUUUGACAAUGCUCAUCAGCAACAUCAAGUGACUUGCAUUCCAAGGAACGACAUUCAUGAUCCUCGGCUAAAGGAACAGAUACCAACUGAGGCGCUUUUACUAUUUUGUGUUCGACAGUUCCAAAGCUCAUUCCAUCUCCAAAUGAGAAAACAGUUUCUCCUUUAUAAAAUCUGUAAGUUCUACCAGGGUAACCAGUAGCAGGAUCAGACCUCAUGUUCAUGUUUGUCAUUGGUAUCUUUUCUACAUAGGAUUGUGGAUACCAUGUCAUUGGUAGCCUUCCACCUGCAUCACAAAAUCAUCGACAAAUGUCAAUGUUGUAUAUCGCUUUGAUUUUAAAUAAUGUCCGCGGGCCACAACCUGGGGAGUGAGAUCAAGUUGUAUCAGCAGCAUUUGCUGUGAUUUCUAAUAUUAGGGAUCACGGUAUAACCACAACAACGAUUUAUAACUUUUUGGAAAACUGUGAACAACUUACUUGGAUUAUAGGAGCCGAAAAUGACAUCAGCUAUGGCAGCUCCACCAGCUUCGCCGGGGUAGCCAACCCACAAAAUGCUUGUGAUUUUAUCAUUAGUUUUGGCAAAGGAAACAUCCAUGCCUCCACCAGACAUUAUGACAAGAAUCACAGGACCCUUGGAUACAUUUGCAACUUCAUUUACUAGUUGUUGCUGCUGUCCUGGAAGUAGAAUGUUAACUCUGUCAAGACUUUCUGCCUCUAUAGCUAGAUUUGCACCUACAACAAUAAUGGUAGCAUCUGCAGAGGCUGCAAUCUUCGCGGCAUCGUCUAUCUGAGCAUUGGCACAUUGCACAUCAGGACAGCCAGGAGCGUAACUCGUAGGAACAAAUGCUGUUAGGCCUUGCAAGGGAGAUGUAUACUUGCAAGGGAUGCCUGCAAAAUUUCAGUAACUUGUCAAAUGCUAUGAAGCAAUGACACAUACACGGACACAGAUACAAUACUGAUACCGACAAGACACAUAGACAGUAUUUAAAAAAAAAUUAAGCUGAUCGAAUGUAACCGCAUAUGUCAAUAGCGUGUCUGUGUUGGACACUGAGACAAUGGAUGCAUUCAAAUAGAUAUAUUUGUGAUCAGUUAGUAUAUUUUAUGUUUCUACAUAGAUAUAAUGGAUGCAUUUACCAAAACUUCAUAUUAUAUCCAUAAUAUCCAUAAUAUGACCAAGUCAUAUACUUAUUUGCUGAGGUAGGAAAUAUCGGUACCUUCAUAGUUUCCAAUCAUGACCCUUGUAGCGUUAGCAUUAGGUCCUAUAACUGCCAAUGAUUUAAUGGCUUUGGAACUUAGAGGCAAUGAUCCUGGACUAUUUUUAAGCAACACAAUCCCUUGCCUUGCAGCUUCACGAGCUAACUCUUGAUUCUCUGGAGUGCAGACAUCCUUUGGACCAAGGUUUCCAUAAGGUUGCUUGCUUGGAUCACCAUCAAAGAAACCAAGACGCAUCAAUGUUGCGAAAUUGUUCGAUACAGCAUUGUUAAUGGAUGCUUCAUCCACAAGCCCUUGCUUUACUGCCCCUCCUGUAUAUUGGCCAAGAUAACUUCCACAGUCCAAAUCUAAACCUGCACGAAAUCAAAAUUUACAUACAACCAAGAUAAGUAAACAACUAGAACAGCAGCCCAGUCCGAAAGUAAAAAGAUACAAAAAACACAAACACAGGAUAUUUGAUCACAUAGUUCGGCCAAUUGUGCCUACAUUUCAGAUUGCAGAGUGGCUGGCUGGAGUACCUUUCUAUUAAUUAAAUUUCGGGUUUAUAGAAGUAUAGUUCGUGUUUAAAUACUACGACUAUAUCCAACAAGUGUAAAUUGCAAACCAAUAAUUUUUCAAUUAACCAACAGUCUAACACAAAAUGAUUGGAAAUCCAGCAAUUUUCAUUGGAAUAUGUAAGUACAAAUUUUCUCAUAUUUUGUUACCUGACAGUAUGGUUUUGGCUGCAGCUUCUUCAGGAGUCUUGGUAUAAUGCUGAUCUUUGAAAAGCACUUCUACUGAGUCACAAUCAGAAACUAUAUAUCUACAUUCACGACAUAAUAUUCAUAUUAUUUAGUGUGAAAACAACAUGAAUAAUGAAAUCAAACUAAGUGAGAUUUAAGACAAUUCUAAGUUACCCAUUUAAUUUCCAUUUGCCUCUGAUAACUCCUUUAAGGAGGUCAGGGUCUGCACAAGUUGGUUUUCCAUUAACUUUAUUGUAUGAACACAUGACACUAGCAACAUUUCCAUCAAUCACACAACUCUUAAAUGGAGGUUGGAACGUGUCAUCCAAAUCUUGCUGACUCACCUAACAAAAUGAACAAACAAAAAAUGAUUUUCUAUAUUCAUAACCAUUCAAUCACUACUAAAGUGAUUGAAUGUAACCACACGUGUCGAUAACGUGCAAGGGUCGGACACUGACUUGUGUCAGACACUCAUGCACGUUUUCAACCUGAAGUGUCGGCUUGCUAGUAGUACAAUCACAUUAACUUACCACAGCAUCGAAGGUGUAACGCUGAACACCUUUCCAAUUAUCAACAUCAUAAGCUGUGUAGUGUUUGCAACAAGCAGCAACCUUAAGCUUGUCGGAGUCUCCAUCAUCAGUUUGUUGCAAACCUUUCACAUAUCCUGCUGCAUAUUUGCUACUUAACAAAGGGUCUUCACCUGGUGUUUCUUGUCCCCUUCCCCAUCUUGGAUCUCUGAAUAUGUUAAUGUUUGGUGACCAAUAUGUCAAACCGGCCAACCCUACAUUGUACAUUGCUCUUGCUUCAUUUGAAACCACCUGAAAUUACCAUAAAUUAGCCCUUAACACCACUUUAAACCCUUUUAUUUUUGUAAGUUUAUUUAGUCUAUAACCUUAACUUUUAGUACUUGAUAAUUAUGACAAAGUAUAUACUUCUGCUACAAAAUAAAUGAACUUGGCUUUUUCAUUGGUUAAAGCAAUUAAUUGUUCACUUUUGCUUCAAUAUGCAAGCUGGAAAAAGAUACAGUACUAAUUUGGCAAGUUCAAACUGAGAACUCACCCAUAUCUUUGUUUCAUUUAUUAUUGUAUUGCUCAAUUUAACAUUUGUACCUAAAAGGCUUUAGCUUUUAUGCUAAAUUAUGCUAUAAGCAUUAAAGAAAGGAUGAUGAAAAAUAAACAAAAUUCAACCAUGUAACUACCACCAUCUACUUCCUUUAAUCACUAACUAAUACAUUUAACCUCAUUGCUAAACCACCUACUAUUAAUACUCAAACCUACAAAAUUCAACAACAACUAAUAUCCUCUCAACUCCAUUUUUGAAACUAGAGAUCCAACCCUUGAACGUGGCAUGCCAUGAUGGUUACUUCUUUUAAAUGACAUUUCACAUUCAAAAUCUAACCAAUAUCUGAAAAUUUCAAAAACAAAAAAAAAAUCCACCAACUCCAAUGAAUAAAAUUAACAACUUUUUAUGUCUUUAUUCCAUAAAAGGUUGAAAAACAUCACCUUUUCCCAGUUUUUGAGAAGCUACUACCAAGAAAGAAAUAAAAAAAAAAAAAAAAGACUUCUUUAUGUGUUCCACAAAAAAUGAAUUAAAUUAUCGAUUUUCAAUACGAUAUAAUCACUUUUUUUCUCGGACCAUGUUGUCUGAUUAAUACUAAUUGCAUCGCUCCCAAACAAAUAAAUAAAAAGAAGAAGAAAAGAAAACUCACACUUCCAAUGGCUUGAAAAAGUGAAGUAUUGAAAGAAGCUGCUGUAAGAAUAGGCAUAGGAAAACUAGUAGCACCUGGAACCAAACUUGAAAAAUGUGUGCCAGGACCAAUGUUAGAGACUCCAUGAAGUGCUUCAGACCACCAUUCAUACUUUGGUAUCCCAAGUCUACUCACUUCAACAGCAGAGUUUCCAAGGUUCCCUAUCUUCUCUUGCAAUGUUAAUCUCUUCACCAAGUCUGAAACCCUAUCUUCCACAGACAAUGACUUGUCACAGAAUCCAUAACUUGAUACAUUUGUAUUCUUGGCAACAUCACAAGCAAAAACAGUUGAUGUUUGACCAUAAACAUGGUUACAAUUCAACAAAACUGCCACAUAGAAAAUUGAGAAACAGAGGAAAACAGAGGAAACCUUUGGUUCUCUGUUUUUUGUGUUGGCCAUAACUGUAAUGUAACCACUAAAAAUCUUUAAAAACAACAAAACAAGCAAAAGGGUAUGUUUUAUUAUGUUUAUUUUCUAUGAAUAAAGUGAAAAAUGUGUCAUUUAUGAACGCUUUGUUUUUUUGUGAUGUGUGAUUGAGAAGAAGAUUGAACUUUGAAAGAAACACCCUUUUGAAUGCAGUUGUUGUUUUUUGGCAGAGAGCCAAAAAAAAAAAACAACCGAAAGAAUCAAUGUAUUGUAUCUUACGAAUCUUAACUUUGGUCUGUGACUGUGUGUGUUAUAUAUAUACUUAUAUAUAUAGAUAUAUAUUCUACAUAGUGCGUGCAAGGUGGUUUUUUUUAUUAUUUUUUUCUAUUUUGGUCGAAUUAUUGUGUUAUAAAAUAAAGUCAACAUUUGCUUGCUACGGUAAAUCAUCACGUGAGAAGAGUACUUUUUUGGCAUUUGUCUUUGUUUUGGGGUUCAGUUAAAACAGAUUGUGAAAAGUGAAAAAAAAUUGCUACAAAAAUAAAAUUAAUAAAAGGGAUCAUAUGGUAUUGGAAAAAAAAAUCUUGUUCCUAAAAUAAUAAUUGAUUAUUGCAUGAAAAAGGGUUCUGUAUAUAUGAGGUAAUUGUGAAGCUUUUAGGCUGGAUGAAAUAAUGAUUUUAAGGGGUGUCAUUUUCAUGGAUAAUAAAAGCCUAUUGCACUUGUGUUGGAUAUGAUAAUAAAGAAAUUUCUUCUAUGGUUGUGUAAUAAUAAAUGAAGCAAAUAUUAUGUGGUACCAAGCAUAGGGUAAUGGGUAAGUAUUUUAUGACCUUUGUUUGUGUUAGAUGUUUGAUCAUAACAAUGCCAUGUUGGAUUGUUUGUUCAUGUAUGGUGUCUUCAAAAUUUUGAGAGUAGUAUUAACAUUUGUUAAUGAUAUAGACUAGAAUUUAGGUGGUAUCUAAAGUUUGAGUAGAGUUUAUAAUUAUAUGUUAGGACCAGUUUCUUUAUUACAAAUAACUUUAUUCGGUUGGUGGUUCAAUUCUUGGAAACAAAGAGAAAAUGAUGGUAUAGAAGAAUAAUUGAAAUUUAUAUAAGAAAAUAUCUUAUAGCUCAUUGGAGACAGCAGGAAUAUGGAUGAAGUUGAAGGUCAUGAAGCCCGUGUUUGUACAGGGGCUAAGCAACUUAAACUUGACUCAAAUAAAAUAAAAAGAUUAAUUUAUUUGAAAGUAUAAAAAAAUAUUUAUACAUAAAUUCAAUUCAAUUACAUUAAAAUAUGUACAUUUUAUAAAUAAGUUUUAAAAUGUUUACAUUAUAUGAUUUGAUUGAAAGCAUGUGCAAAAUAGUUUUACAUUAUCCGUGUAUAUAAAUUAAAUCCAUAAAAUAUACUUUUUUUAUGUGUCAAAAAUCAAUUUGGUCCUAUUAUUGUUGAGGAUGAGUGCAAUUUGAUAAUAUUGAUUUUGAGAUUGAUUCAAUAAAUGAUGCUUUCCACUCAAACAUCACAUAAUUUGGUCAUAUUAUUGCAGUUUGUAUGUGUUGCUACAACUUCCUUCACAAACUUGUGGGUUUAGUGUUUCAGAUGAUAAAUCAAUGUGGUCGUUCAUGCUCUUGUAUAAGAGGUUACAUUAUUAGCCAGUCUCACUAUUCAUUUUAGGGUUGAUUAUGUUUUAGGUCCCUAUAAAUAGGCAUGUUUCCAACAUUAGUCCCUACAUAAAUUUUAUUAAAUUUUUGGUCACCAACGUUUUUUUCUGUUAGCAAAAAAGGUCCUCGCUAUUAAUUGUUGCUGAUUGAAUAGGGACAAUUAACCCUUUUUUCGUAGAUGCUUAUAAAAUCGAGACAUUUUAAGUAGGGACCAAAAAUGAAUAGAGUUUGAGCAUAAAUUAAGCAUUGACUAAUACUAAGUGCAUAAUAUUUUUUUAAGGACUAAAACAACUAUUAAAAUUAAGUAAGGACUAAACUUAAAAUGCCUCAAUUUUAUAGGGACUAAAAACAUAUUUAACUCAACAAAAAAAGUCAGAUGUGGCAUCCACGUGUACUUCACCGUUUGCUCAAUCAGCAACAAUUAACAACGAGGACCUAUUUUGCUAACGGAAAAAAAAACAUUGGUGACAAAAAAUUUAAUAAAAUUUAAGUAGGGACUAAUGUUGGAAACACGUCUAUUUAUAGAACCUAAAACAUAAUUAACCCUUCAUUUUAAUAUCCCAAGUUGUAUUGACUCUCUUAUUAUCAAAGAAAUGUUACGAAAAUGUGUCAAAAAUCAAAAUAGUUUUUACUAUUGAAAUAAAUAAUAAUAAUUUUCAAUUGAUUUAAUUAUUUGAUACUAAUAAAAUUAUUAUUUUUAUAGAUAAGUCACGAUAUUUUGAAUUCAUUUUAAAGAAAAAUUGUUUUAAAAAUAAUUAAAAUCCAAAUAAUAAUAAUAAAUCGUCAUCGAAAUGCACACAAGUGAUAGAUAGAUAUAGGUGGGGUUACUAUUCUCUUUGUGAUGGGCCCGCUCAGAGUCUCACUUGGCCCAAUCAUAAAACCGUGAAGUCUAAGUUUGGGUCAGUGGAACCCAUCCAGUGGCCUGCAGAAACAAGAAGAUAAUUGUAUCUUUGUGGCUGAGGCAGCAUAUCCUACCUGUAAAGCACCCAAUGAAUCAUCAUUAUCCAGUUUUUAAAAUUAUAUACAAGUUUUUCUUUUCAAUAUUAUCCCCGUAUUUGAAAUGGAGUAAGUGGUGUUAGUAUUGUAGACCAAAAUAAUUGUUUGGUGUUGCGUUUGUAAUAUAAUUUGAAUUGAAUAUAUUGGAUAAUUCAGAUUUUAAAAAGAGAAGUACUUGUAGGAAUUUGAAAGAGAAAUAUCAGUUGCAAGUUGGUGCAGCAGAGUGGUCAGUACCAGUAUACUACACUUUCGUGUAAUAAAAAUGGGCCAAUGUUGUUUCUGAAAUUCAUUCUUGACGUUAUUCAUUCAUGCCAUUAACUACCCACCAAGCUUAACCAGAAUAUGAAGCACGGACACUUCUCGACGAUAUUUUUAAUUACACUAAAUUAUGUAAUUCUUUUAAAUUAUUAAGAAUGUCGACGUGUCAGUGUCUAUGUCGUGCUCAAUAUAUGUGUCUGUAUGCGUGGUUGUUUAAUAGACAAUAAGUAUCUCUCUUAUCACAACUUGUCUGCUAGCUAAGUUAAUUUGUUUUUCUUUUAUAGAUUUUUAUAGGUUUAAUUGCACUUUUAGACCCCUAUCUUUCCAAAAGUUGCGGUUAUGGACCCCUAACUAAUUUAAAUACAAAAUAGCCCCCUAUGUUUCGAUUCUUUGACAGUUUUGGACCCCCAGUCCAUUGUUGACUCGAUCAACGCUGACGUGGCACCCUAAGUGAGGUGCCACGUGUCAAUAUAUAUAUAUUUUUUUGCCUUGGGGGUCCAAAACUGCCAAAGAAUCAAAACAUAUGGGGUUGUUUUGUAUUGGCUUAAUUGCACUUUUGGACCCCUAUCUUUCCAAAAGUUACGGUUAUGGACCCCUAACUAAUUUAAAUACAAAACAACCCCCUAUGUUUUGAUUAUUUGACAGUUNNNNNNNNNNNNNNNNNNNNNNNNNNNNNNNNNNNNNNNNNNNNNNNNNNNNNNNNNNNNNNNNNNNNNNNNNNNNNNNNNNNNNNNNNNNAGUGAGGUGUCACGUGUCAAUUUUUUUUUUUUUUUUGCCUUGGGGGUCCAAAACUGCCAAAUAAUCAAAACAUAGGGGGCUGUUUUGUAUUUAAAUUAGUUAGGGGUCCAUAACCGCAACUUUUGGAAAGAUAGGGGUCCAAAAGUUCAAUUAAGUCUUUUGUAUUUAAUUUAGUUAGGGGUCCAUAACCGCAACUUUUGAAAAGAUAGGGGUCCAAAAGUGCAAUUAAGUCAUUUUUAUAAUAAGCCAUUAAAAUAUGCAAAUGAAUAAUUACGUUGAGAUAAUUUGUCCAUAUCUAUCCACACAUGACAUAACAUAAGUCAAUUGGCACAUUAGGACUCUUUUGCUUUUUCGGUGAUCCAGAAAGCAACUCAACCUUAUUCUGCCUACUGCCAACAACCAACGUGCUUCAAUAUUUGAUUACUUAUUUUUAGAUUCAAAACUUGCUUAGGAUAAAAUCAACAAUUGAUAUUCAAAUAAAAAAUUCUUCAUUCUAGCGGAAAUUAAAAUUAAUACCAUAAAAGAAAAAUAAGUCAAAAGGGAUUAAAGGAGGAGAAAAAACACACACAGAGACACUACACGAGUCACCCUUACACAAACGAACAAAAGAGUGGUUACUACAUGGACAAAUACUCUUCAACUAAUAAGUCAUUCUAGUUAGGUGGUAUUUGGUUUAAUAUUUUCUUACAUUCUUUAAUUAUUACUACCUAUCAUUUGGGCACAUUUGAAAAUGUUAACCUUCUAAAUUUUGUUCGGUGUAACAUCCAAGAUUUAAUCAUUUAUUAUCAUGUUUUAUAUUUUUAUAUAUUGGAUUACUUUUAAAUGAAUUUAAAUUUUAAAUUAAUUAAAAUACCGGUAUCAAUCAAUUUGGGCAACUUGCUAGCUAUAGCUUGUAGAUCGGUCCUUUUUCUACUUUCACAUUUGCUAAAAAAGAAGAUAUUCCCCAAAGCAGGUUUACUAGAAAGUUAUGAGGUGAGGUCUUUUAUCACAUUUUUUAUUCUUGAUAUCCGAUGAAAGUUUAAAUUUAAUGUUAUGUUUGUUGAUGAAUGUUGGUUUAUUACGAGGUGUCUAGGUUGAUUCUAAUUCUAAAUUCAAGGACUAACAUCUUGAAUUUCUGGGGAAAAAGUUGAGAAAAUGAUAAAAGAGAAUUUUCAUAAAAGUUUUUUCAUUGGAUCAAUGUGAGAAACUCAUAGUUGGAAGAAGCUGCAACAUUUCUUAAUUGUAAGGAGGGUUAAACACCUUUCAAAUAUCUUGACACAUUUCAAUUGGUGGCAAAAUGCCAAGGUUAUCUUUUUGGGGUCCUUUGGUGGAAAUAUUAAAAAUGGAUUAUCUAUUUGAAAGUGUAGAAUUUGUCGAUGGAUGGAGUCUUAUUCUCAUUAAAGUUGUAUUGUCAAUCUUAUAGGUCUACUUUUCUUUUUUUAAGGUUCCCUCAAGUAUCAUUUCUCAAAUUAAUAUCUUUUAAAGUUAUUUUUAUUGGGGUGGGGUAGAGACAAAGUGUAAAUUGAUAAGAAUCACCAUUAUGUUAGGUCAACAUAGUCAAACAUAGAUCAAUUUACGUUCAAUUCAUUUUUAGUCAAAAUAAAUUUAGAUAAAUCCAAUUUUAUUAGAAUCAAUUCUAGUUAUCGCAAAAUCAGUCACACGCUUUCAACCAUGUUUAGACUUCUAGUGGUUUACAUUUGGUUAAUAAGUUAAGAGAAAAGUUAUGUAAUAAUUAAAUAUUUGGACAUAAUGGAAGGUUCGUUGCACAUUUGGUUGAUGAUGUUAAAAUUUAAUCUUGGUAAUGGUUUAAGACAAAAACAAAAAGUUUCAAUGGUGGACCAAUUUUAUGUUUUGAUUGAGCAUUAAUAUUGUAAGCAUGGGCGGGCGGACCUGAACAACACGUUGCCACACCAGCCCAGCCAAAAACUUUUAUGAAUAGGUGCUCUUGAAUUCUUGUACAAUUAACAGAAAACAAAGAACCCAUGUACUUGAAAAGCCUAAAGUUUUUCACCCUAUGGGUUUCAAACUAGUGAGUAUUGUUCAAACCAAAUACUAACAAUGACCCACAAACAAUGCAUUGGAUAAAGCACAAAGAGAAUCGUUCACUUAGUAUCUAUCUGUGUUUUACAAAGUACAUGCAUAUUUUUUUUGACAUAUAGAGAGAAUGAAAUUACUUCUAUAAAAAAAAUAGAGAAUGAAAUUAAUUAUUUAAUUUAAUAUUAAUAAUAAGUAAUAUCAGUUUUUUGUGAUUAUCAAACUAUAUAUUUGGUGUUGCUUGUUGAAAAUGGUUUUACAAAAGAUUUAAGAAUUGAGUUUUUAUCCUUAGCAUCAUGUGUUUGUCAAGCUAUUAUUAGGUUUUGACUACUAAAAUUGAUUUUAUAUUGUUUGAAAUUGAAAUUGAAUCAGGAUGAAGAAUAUAUGAAGAGUCAACCAAGUAUCAAGAUGGAUGAUCAAUAAUCAAAUAAAUGAUCGUUUUGCUAAAAAUAUUUUUAAUAUAAUUUUUUAUUAAAUUUAGUUUUAUUUAAUUAUUUGACAAAAAAAUUGUGUCUCACCAACAUUGUGAGUCCAGAUCCGCCUCUGAUUGUAAGUAGUGGAAUUUGCAGUUUGUGUGGUGUGGGUCAGUUUGUUCCAUUGUUUCAGAGGAUCAUGACUUUUUGUUUAAAGGUUGCCAACAUUUCAUCUUGACAUUGUAGUGCUAGGAGUGGCUUAGAAGAGGAUUACAACUUUUGAUUAUUAUUAUUUUUUAUGUAUAGUUUCUUUUAAUUUCCAUCUUAACAAUAUUAUCCUAAGACACACGUACAUCCUAUAAAGCAUCUAUUGUGCGUAUACGUGAUCAUGGCUUAACUAACAUUAAUUAAUUAUAUUAUUCUGGAUCUUCAAAUCUAGAUAUGGACUGCAUGCACCCAAUGCACUCUUCAAUCAUAUCCUAUAGUUUAUUUAAAAGAAUCACAACCUCAUGUGUUGUGUUCUUAAUCAGUCCAAUAAUGAGAUGAUAACUACUGUUAUUAAUUCUCCAUAAAAUGGUAGGCAGAACCGCCACAUCCUAUUUCUUUUUAGCUAGUUUGUCACAUUCCAUUAUAUUUUGGUCUGAUCCAAAUUAGUUGUAUGUGAUGUGAUUCAGUGAUUCUUCUAAAGAAUUAGACAAUCACUACGUUACUAUAAUUAAAAGCAAGACUAUGAUUGAUAAUGAAAUGUGUCACAUAUAGUCAUGGCCACUAAAAAGGUACGUACAUCACAUGAGUGUCUUUCAAUUUCAUGGCUCAUUUCAGCGUAGACGGCAAGUGUGAUAGAUAGACCUAUUAUUAUGGACACGCAGCCUCAAACAUAUAUGGUGGUUGUGUAUUGUUCAAUAUAUACUCGAUAAAAAUGUGAUAUUGUUUGUAAAAAAAAAAAAAAAGUGAUAUUGUUGGACAAAAUCUCUUAUUUCUUAAAGUUAAUUCGAAUGCGGAAUGUUGUCCUAGAUUUAACCUAACUUUAAUGAUUAAUUUUACUAUAUUACCCCUAUUUAAUUUAAGGGUUAAAUAUAUUUUUAGCCCCUAUAAAUAUACCAACUUUUUUUUUUAGUCCCUCUAAAAUUUUCCUUCAACUUUUAGUUCUUAUAAAAUAUUCAAUCUUUAUUUUUGGUCACUUGUUUAAAGUAAACUCAUAUGUAUAAUUCAUAUUUUUAAAUAAAAAAUUUCAGAAAAAUGUAUAAUAUUAUAAGGAUCACUCCCAAAAAAAUUUAGAAUUUUUUACCAAAACAUGAAUUAAAUAUGAAUCUUUAUAUAUUUGGAGGUAAAAAAUUCAUAUUUAAUUCAUGUUUUGUUAAAAAAUUCUAAUUUUUUUUUGGGAGUGAUUUUUACAAUAUUCCAUAAAUUUCUGUACAAUUUCAUUAAAAAAUACAAAAAUUUGCUUAAAAAUAGGGACCAAAAGUAGUAAUUGAAAAUUUUACAGGGACUAAAAGUUGAAGGAAAAUUUUAGAGGGAAUAAAACGAAAAAAUUGGUAUAUUUAUAGGGACCAAAAAUAUAUUUAACCCUUAAUUGAAUCAAAAUGUUAUUUUCAAAUGCUUUUGAAAUCAAAAACAACACAUAACUCCUAAAUCCAAUCCAAUCUUAUUUUCGCUCCUAUUUUUUAUUAAAAAACAAAAGAAAAUCAUCCCCUAUUUUUUUAUGAAACCUAAGCUAAACCAAUUACCCUAUUUUUUUAUGAAAAAUAAAAUAAACCUAUUUUUUUUAUUAAAAACCAAUUGAAGUCGUCCCCUAUUUUCUUUUUUAUGAAAAUAGUCCCCUAUUUUUUUUAUGAAAUCUAAACUAAACUAAUUACCCUAUUUUUUUAUGAAAAACAAAACAAAUCUUUUUUUUUUUUUUUAACAAUCAAAAAUGGAAUUAUAUUAAUCACCAAAAGCAACUCUUCAAAAGAACUACUCUACAAAUAAAGAGUCAAACAAACAACCAAACAAACCAUUACGUGAUGCCCAAACAUUGUAAGGGACUUGAGCACCACAUCUCAGAAUCAAACCUAAAAACAACCUUAUUGGCUUUCAACCAAGCUAAAGACAUAUAUUUAACUUUGUCUAACAGCCUGGGAAUAGAAGUUACAACAUUAUUGAAAAACCUAUUAUUAUGUUCGUUCCAUACCACCCAAACGCACAAAAGCCAAAUAAGCUGAAGAAAGUCUCUAGUAGCUUUCCCUCCACCUGUCAAAUUCACAAACUGAAGAAAAUGAUCUAGUAGAACAUUGGUGUCAACCCCUAGAAUUCCCAGCCAAUGGCGCACCAGAGGCCAUAACGAUGAAAAAGCAUCACAAGAUAGAAACAAAUGUUGCGCCGUUUCACUCAUGCCACAAUCUGAAACACACAAUGAAGCUUCUGAGUCAAGCACCCGUCUUUGAACCAAAUUAGCUUUAGUAGGCAAUCUAUCACGAAGUAGCCUCCAAGCAAAUAAAGAAACCUUCAACGGCACCUGGUUAUGCCAAAUCAAAGAUGUUGCAGGAUCCCUCAGAGGAACGUCUCUAGAAGUCAGCAUAUGAUAUGAACCGCGAACAGAGUAACCCACAAUAGGAUCUGGCAACCAAACCCACCUAUCUGAAACAUAAUCUUGCAAAGAAACAUCAGUCAAUAAGGCCUUACACUCCUCUAACUCCUCCUCCUCCCAAGCCCACAACCUCCUCCUCCACUUCCACGCCUCCCCACCCCACUCUACACCAAGAGAAAACAAAUCUGCCACCGAAAAGAAUUUGUUCACAGAGAGAUCGAACAACCUAGGAAACCGCUCACAAAAAGACACCGACCCUAACCAUUUAUCAAACCAAAACAAAGUGUCUGAACCAUUCCCCAACUUCUUAGACACACACUCUCCAAACCAACCUCCACCUAUAUCACCUCCCCCGUCUCUAAUCAGCCCUAUCUCCCUCCACCAAGAAGAACAACUCCGGCCCCCAACCUCCAACCUCCCGCCUACUUCGCCAUAACGGGCGACUAAGACUCGAUACCAAAAGCCACUCCUAUCAACUAGCAUCCUCCAACACCACUUUUCUAAUAAAUCCAAAUUGAAUUCUUUCAACCGUCUCACCCCCAAACCUCCAAACUCCCUAUGAAGGCACACUCAUGCCAUAUAUAUAAUUUUUUUUUUCAUCCAAAAUUUUGAGGCUUAAAGCUUUUGCUUAGGGUCCAAAAUAAUACAUGUGGCCCCCUAAAUAAUACAUGUGGCACCUCACUAAUGGACUGAGGGUCCAAAACUGCCAAAGAAUCAAAACAUAGGGGGUUGUUUUGUAUUUAAAUUAGUUAGGAGGCCAUAACCACAACUUUUGAAAAGAUAGGGAGCCAAAAAUGCAAUUAAACCAAAAAUAAAAUAUAAAGGCCACAUUUAAAUUUUUGCUUUAAUCCUAUUAAUCCGUUGGCCCGGCCCUAUAUAUAGAUUUGUAACAUUAAAUAUGUAUACUCUCUCCUUUACUUUUAAGUGAUGUAGUUUACCACUUCACACAUGUUAAUGAAUAAUUUUGACCAUUAAUAUAUUUAAUUAUCUAUUAUAAUAGAUUAUAAAAAAGCAUAAUUUUAAAAUAUUCAUCGAAACCAUUUAGACAACAUCUUAUAUGCUAACUUUUGUUUUUAUAUAUUAAUAAAAAAAAAUUGUCGAAUUAGGUUAUAUAAAUUGUGCAAAUGAUCAAACUGCGACACUUAAAAAGGAAUAGACGGUGUAUUACAUCAAAUCAUACAAAUAUACCAUAGAACUUAUAUCACAUGCAAUACUCCUAAUUUCCAAUACAGUAAUUUUGUCAUUUGUUAGCAGACAAAAAUACACAACACUACUAGAAAAAAGACAUUUAACAUCAGAGUUUUCACAUCAGUGGAGAAAUGUCAUUUCUGUAGUAGUGCAAGGUUUAAUUUUUUGGGAAUAAAUAAGCCUUCACAUUUUUAAAAUAAAUAAAACUUAGCAAAAACAUGUGUUUGUGGAUGUGAACUAUGGUUGUGGAGUGUGUGUGGGUUUUUUAAGUGAGAAAGAAAUAUUCUUUCUGUUUUAAAAUGAGUGUCGCUUUAGUAAAAAAAAAUUGUUUUAAAAUGAAUGUUACUUUACAUUUCCAAUAUAACUUUGAUUUUUUUCUUCCAACUUUACCUUCUCCAACUUUUCUCUCACAAUUUUCAAUGCAAUUUUAAGUUUUUCUUUUUCUUAUAAAGUAAGAGCAGUUUAGUAAAAGUGUUAUGUCUAAUGAUUAUUUCUUGUUAUAUAUAUGUUACAUUUUGUUUAAGCUCAUACUGAUCAUCAACCAUUAUAAAUUGUUACUAGCUUAUGCUCUGUCCACACCACAAUUUAUUGUCUAAUAAGGUGUAUUUGUAUAUUCAAACACACAUGUCAAUGACAAUGAGUAAAUGUAAUGGAGGACAUUAGAGAAUGGAUCAGUGAUUACUGAUUAGCAUUGCCUCGUUUAUAUUCUACAUAUUGAAAGUCGGUAGCUACUAUCUACAAGAACAUAAUUGAUGUAUAUUCUAGUGCCUCUUUUUGCAGUAGUGCUGUAGCAGAAAAAGAUUAUGAAUCUGAAUAAGUUUUGUUUAGUUGAUGAUUAUUUUCGUUGGCAUUGAAGCCAUUUGCACUUACCUUUACUGGCCCACAUUUUGUUUUAUGAGAUAUUACAAUCAUUAUUAUUGCUACUAUACUUAAGUUUCUAGGAUAUUUUGUACCCAGAAGAAGUGUUUCUAGGAUAUUUUGUAUACCAUCUUUCUAGAAAGGAAAAAGAAUACCCAAAAAAACUCUAGAUAUAUAUUUGGAUUUUGUCUGUCUCACUAUUAACAUUGUUCUUUAACACCCAAAAAAUACAUGAAUACUUUUAAUAGUAAUUAACUGUCGUUUGUUAAAUGAUUUCAACGACAGUUAAAUCUCGUUGUCGAUAACUUUUCAGUAUUAGGUCUAGACUCUUCCACCUCAAAUUUCAUCCACCAUUUUUUUCCCUCUUCCAUACGUAUUGUUCUAGAUUGGCUAGAUCGCCCAAUUCCAUUAAGACAUGUGGAUCAAUUCCACGAAACGAAGCAUAAUGCCUUGAGGGAACACGCGAGUUACGGUGUGGACCACCAUGUUGGAACACGCCCUAGCCUUUCUAGCACCAUCCACGUUUCCUCCAACGGCUUCUUGAUGAGGUGUCACAUUUCACGAAAGCUUUUAGUGCAACCUUCGUCUAUAUAAAGGUGAUUAUACCUCAUCCUCAAGGACAGCUCAUUUAUUCAACACACAGUGAUAUUCAGUAACACUCUUCUCAACGAUAGAGGCAUUGAACCACAUCGCCACUGUAACGACCUAUUUUAUUAUUUAUUUAUUUUAUUGAGUUUAAAUAUCUUUUUAUAAUUUAGUCGAUUUAUUUUAAUGAGUAUAUUUUGUUAUGUUAUAUGUUGGUAUUUAUUAGUAUAAUAUAUAUGUUAUUUGGUGUAGAAAUAUAUAUGUUAUCUGAUAUAAAUAUAUAUGUUAUUUGGUGUAGAAAUAUAUAUGUUAUCUGGUGUAGAAAUAUAUUUGUUAUUUGGUGUAGAAAUAUAUAUGUUAUCUGGUGUAGAAAUAUAUUUCUUAUUUGGUGUAGAAAUAUAUAUGUUAUAGAAAUAUAUUUGCUAUAGAGAUAUAUUUGGUAUUUGUUAUAGAAAUAUUUUAUUUUAUAUUAUAUAUAUAUUAGAAUAGAAUAUUGAGACUGGGAGGGCAGAUUUUGAAAUAAGAGAAAAUAAGUAGGUUAAGGAUUUAUAUAAAAGGAAGAGUUAGAAUUAGAAAAUAAGGAUUACGUGAAACCUGUUUUUGGAGAAAAAGGGAGAAAACCAAGAGAAGACAAGAGUCAGAGGAGAGAAAGUGGUAGAGUCCUUCGUCGAUCAAUCUGAGGUAAGGGUGAGACUAACUUUCUCUAAUUCUAAGUUGUAUCAUUCUGAAACUGGAUUUAACAGGUGGUAGGUUGUAGUUUUGGAAAUUUGGGAAUUAGGUUUAGAAGUUGUAAUUGGUUGUUUUAAUUGUAGAAUUGAUUGUAGAAAUUAAGAUGUUAAUGAAGUUAGGGUUGUGAAAAGAAGUUAGAGUUUUGAAAAGAAGUUAGGGUUUUGAAUUGCAAUUUGAUUGUUGAAAGAGUAGGUAAUCCGAUGAAUUAACGUAAUAAUUGGUCUUCAGGUUGUAGAAUAAUCAUAGGUUAAGUUUCCUAUCAAAUUUGGGUAGAUGAAAUUUGUGUUUUUUGGGUGAAAAAUGUGCAGAAAUCGUAACAGCAGGAGAGAAACUCGCUAGAAGUUCGCUAUUGGCGAAAUCCUCUGUAACGAUUUCGCGAUUAGCUAACUUUUCGCCAUUAGCGAAAUUGCAAAGUGACAGCAUACCCUGUUUCAUGUUUUUGCGUCUUUUUCAAACGUUUCUGUUUUGAAUUGACCAUUUGUGUAAACAUGAAAGUUGUAGAUAAUUGUAUUAGCUUUCCAGUGGCUUUGGAUUGACUUGAAAAUGAUUUUUGGUUUUUGAGUUAUGAUGAAAAUACUCCAACGAGGUCUUAGUGAAAUUUUAUGAAAAUUCCACAUAACUAUUUCUAAGUCAACUCAAAACUUAUGAAUUGUCUCCAAACUUCAAAGCUUGUGUACCAUGAGUUCUAUUAAGGUGUUUACGAGUAUUUAACCUAUGCUGUGAUGAAUCUAACUUGGUUUGACGUGAAUAUCUUUGAUUGAUGAAUUAUUAUAUGAAUGUAUAUGUUGAUGAAUAUGAUCUUAUAUAAUGUUGUUCAUGAUUGAUGAAUUAUUAUAUGAAUGUAUAUGUUGAUGAAUAUGAUGUUAUAUGAUGUUGUUCAUGAUUUAUGAAUGUAUAUGUUGAUAAAUACGAUGUUAUAUGAUGUUGUUCAUAAUUAACGAAUAACUAUAUGAAUGUAUACAUUGAUGAAUUAUGAUAUUAUGAUGCAAAGUCGUUGUUGUUAUCGUUGCCGUUGUUGUCGUCAAUGUCGUUAAUGUUGCAAGUUAUUGCCAAAGUCGCUAAGACUGUAAGUUGUUGUUGAAGUCGUAUAAGUUGUCUAAGUCGUUAAAAGUUGUCUAAGUUGUUAAAGUUGUUGGUUGCUGAGUCCAUGCAUACUCAUUAAACUUAAGGGCUUGAUGCCCUGUGAGCCUAUUUGCUCUAUAAGUUGCGGGCUUGAUGUCCUGUGAGUAUAUUUAUGCUCCAUACGUUGGGGGCUUGAUGCCCUGAUUGGUACCACAUGCAUAUUGCAUUGUCAAGUUGAUGUUGUUGUCGUUGCAUUGUCGAGUUGAUGUCGAUGUUGUCGCAUUGUUGUUGUUGUCAAGUUGUCAAUUACUAAUGAGUUGUUAAUGAGAAACUAUGUGAAGUAUCAAUAUUAAUUAUUGUUGUUGUUUAUGUGAAGCAUCGUUAAUGAUGAUUUGAAGUUGAUUGAUAAUUUAUAGUUGAAACUAUGUGAAUGAUCAAUAUUAUUUAUUGUUGUUGUUUAUGUUGUUUAUGUGAAGCAUCGUUAAUGAUGAUUUGAAGUUAAUUGAUAAUUUAUAGUUGGAACUAUGUGAAGUAUCAAUAUUAUUUAUCGUUGUUGUUUAUGUUGUUUAUGUGAGACAUUGUUGAUGAUGAUUUGUUGUUGCUUUAUGUUGAUAAAUUCUCUUACUCAAACUAUUGUGUAUUAGUUUUACUAAAGAUGAAUAGGUGUUGUUAUGUGUCGUUAAAUUCUUUUAAAGAAUUAUACGCUUAUUGUUAUUGAAUGUGAAAUCUCACCCCUUCUGUUUAAAUGUUGCCUCUACGUAGGUAACGUGUAGAUAACCAGGAUUAGCUGUUGAAGUGAGUUGACUCUCUCACGCGUCGUCUUAGGGUCGCUCUGAUACGUAACGGGAUGGAGAUAUUUGUGUUGUUUUCCAUUUGUUACGUAUUAUUAUGAAUUAUGUUGAUGAACUACCUAGAAUGAAAUUUUAAUAAGUUGUUUAUGUUGAGGCCGUUGUGCCAUCUUGUUGAAUACUUAAAUGUUUUUCCGCUGCGAUGUAAGUUGAAUUAUUGAUAAAAGAUGUUUAAAUAAAUAAUAAUUUUACCCUAUUUAUCUUUUAAAGAAGUGUGACAUCCUGUUUAAGUUGAAUACUCUGAUUAUUAUGUAUUAUUUUACAUUUUGGAAAAUGGGGUGUUACAACCACUAUACUAGAACACCGCACGCCACCACUGCCUUUAUAUGAUCACCAUCGGACAGAUCUCAUACAAAAACCCUCAAGUACGGUUUUUUUUUUUUUGUGCAAAAUCUUGGUCUUAAUCAUUGGAGGAGGAUUACUAUAAGUUUUCUACUUUCUACACUCAUUUGACGUCAUUAAACGUGUAACACAUCUUUUAACCCGUUUACUUUCAUUGAUGCAUUUCAUUGAUGCAUUUUGCUGUGAUGUUUUGUUUCUGAUAGGCUACAUAAAAUGGAUUACACCGUAUUUUAUAUACAUAUAUGUCUCUAGUUAAUCUACGAUCAUGGGCGGUUCUAUGGCUCGACGACCCCGGGCACUCGCCCGGGCUCGGACCCAAUUUUUUUGCAAUUUCUUAUGUAAAUUGAUAAAAUUUUGGCAAGUGUACCAAAUACUAUCGAAGUAGUAAAAUAUCGUUCCCACAAGGACUGGUUUUAAUCUCAAUAAUUCAAUUACGUUGUAACUUAAGAUGUAUAAAGGUUCUUUUAAUUUGCCGCUAGGCAGUUGAUUGGUUUGUUGCAUAAGCAAUAACAGAAAAUAAGAUUGGUUUAAAGAAUAAGAGAGAGAUGAGUUUAGGUCUUUCGAAUCAUCUAUGUUCCCCUAAUUGGUAUACUGCACUUAUUCUUGUGAAUGAGUCCCUAGUUUUACGAUAGUUAACAAAAUAGUCUUAAUCAAUCCCUUGAGUUAGGACCCUCUUCUAGGGUUACAGCCCCUAAUUCCUUAGGUGGUCUAAUAACCUUUGAAGGUUUAAGCACGUUAACCUAAUAUCACUAAUAAAGGAUUAUCCAUUUCUAGACUAACCAUGUUUAUUAGAACAAUUCAAUUAGGUCUAAGUCGAAAGCUAUGGUCAGUAGUCGUUCGUUCUCACUAAAUCAUAUUUAUAUUUGAUCAUGAUAUAAAAAGCAUUAAGAACAAUUGAAUUGAAUAAAAACUAGAUUGUCAUUCACAAAUAAUAGAGUUUCACAGCAACAUGAAUCAAUUAGGGUUACAAAGAAUCAUCUCAGACCUAACCUCUAAUGGAUUUAGCUACUCAUAAUGGUGUUUACAAAUAACAUAAUCAUUAGAGGAAUCAAUACAUACAUGAACUGGUAAAAGAGUGAAGAAAUCGCCCUUCUCGCCGUCUUGUAGUCUCAAAAUCGCACUUUGCUCUCUCCAAAUCGUAACCCUUGUCUUUGAAAUAGACUUCAGCUUAAAUAGGCACAGAAUUUCGCCCAAAAUCGUGUCACGUUUUUAGUAAAUCGUGACACUAUUUUCCUUUGAAUCGCAAAUUACUGAAUAAGGGUUUCCUCAAAUCGUGUCACGAUUUCUCAAUGUCGAAGCAAGUUUUGGUCUUCCAGAAUCGUGUCACAUUUUUACCAAAUCGUGACACGAUUUCCUUCUUUGUAUUUUCUUCAUUUUUCUGCUCUUUUGCUGCAUAAGUUGCCUUGUGAACUCCACUUUGUGAUCAAAAUACAUAUAAAAAUUACGUAAUGACGAGAUGUCAUCAUAAAUCCCUAUGAAUUUCUUAGAUAAACCCCUAUAAAUUGGGUAAUUUCUUUAGAUUUUUUAUUAUUUGCUUGCAAUUUCUUAUGUAAACCCUUACAAAUGUGUUGCAAAUUUUUUUUACCCGAACUUUACAAUAAUCCUGGCUCCGCAACCGUCUACGAUCAUUUUAUCAUUUCGUUUCUGAAAAGAAUAUCUCUCCCCAAAUCCAAAUAUUCACAUGAAUAAAGUAACCAUCAAUACAUUAUAUGGCCGAUUUAAAAUAAAAUUCACUUGCAGGCAUCAAUAAGUCAAAGAACCAACAUGAAGUCAUGGAUUCUUAGCAUAAAUAUUUAAUAAAUCUCGUAAUUUCUGGAUCGAAAACAAAUAGAUAUCCUAAUUGCUCAAAUAACAUUAGAGAUUUGGAGAAAUUAACUGUAAGCCAUAAGAUUAAGAUCCAAAGUAAAGUUUAUUAUGCAAACUGGAUGAAUUAAUACAAAGGCGUCGAUGAAUUAGAGAAACAAAUAGACAUCCAUAAACAAUUAGGCAUUGAUAUAUCACAAAACAAACAGGCUUUACAAGACAAAUGGACAUUGAUAAAAAAAAACACAGCCAUCGCAGAUGUAUAUAUCAAGCCACGCAACAAAUAAAAUCUCACCCUAAACAUGGAAUAAAAUAUGUUUAUAAUCCAAACAUGAAGUGACUCUAAUACUAUUUGUUGUAAAUUUAGGUCAAAAUAAAAAUAUACUUCAUAAAACAUUUCAAUAAUUAUGAAUCAAUAACGGAAACAAACAAAACAUUGAAUAUAUUCAUCAAUAUGAUAGGAUCUACAACAUGUUAUCAAGGACAUUGAAAGUUGAGUAUUAGAAAUACUUGGAUGAAUUAACCUCUUCAAAGCCACGGUUAAAAACAAAUUAAGAGAAUGUGAUCUAAAAUAAUACAUAAGAAAAGUUAACGACGGUUGAUUUGGUUCUUCGUUAACCAUAUCUUUAUGCCUCAAGUCCUCUUCAAAAAUGAUAAAGAGAAGAGAAAAUAUGUCAUGUGCGGUAUACUGGGACCAUAUCAUCUUAUAGUGUGAUGAUCAUUGGAGUUUCUCAUUAUUCCGUUAACGUGUCAUCUAGACAUCAAAUCAUAUUGAGUUCAUAUCAAUUAAUUAAAAAAUUAAUUACUAAAAAAUUGAUAAAUUUUAAGGAUACAAAAAUAAAAAUAAUAGAUAAAUUUUAAAUAAAAAAGGUUACUUUUUAAUGUUUUAAUGCAUUGAAUGUAUCAUUUUCAAGACAACAUUUUCCAUAAUAAAAAAUUUUAAAAAAUACUAACAAUAUUUUUUUUUCUUCUAAAAAAUUGCCUAAAAGAUUUAAACAUUUUUUAUAUAUAAGAUAAGAUUUGACACACAAAGAUUUAAUAAAAUUAUACCCGACCCAAUAUUGUUCCAUACCUUGCGUUUUUUGGCCAAUUUUUGUUGUGUUUUCAUUACAAUUAAUAGAACAAAUUGCGUCAAUCUUUACUCAAUUGCAAUCAUUUAGAAGGUAAACCUUGCUUCUUCCUCUCUCGUAUUGUUUCUGCAUAAUUUUUUUAGAGUUCUGUCAUAUUCAAUGAAAAGUUUGAUCCUUUUAUUUCUGUAAAUUUUAUGCACCCUACCAAAAGUUUGUGAAUUUUCCAACAUAGCAGAGCAUGUACAUUUAAAUAACAUAAUGCGAUAAAAGCGAAAAUUUGUAAAUGUGCCUCCGGUAUGUACAUACCGAAGGUGUAAAAUGUGAAAAUUUAAAAUGCACUACCGGUAUGUAACUACCGGAUGUAUUAUAAAGGUUAUUUUUGUAUUUUUAGGGGGCCUAAAGAGAUAUUGGGGGGGCCUAAAAAGCAAUCUUCAAUUUGUUAAACACGCCUCGGGACAAAUUUCGCUACAUAUAGCACCACUGUUUUUUUUUUUUUCUCUUUCUUUUUUCAUUGGCUAAACUGCAGUUUUAACCCCCUAACUUUCAGAAUGGUGCGAUUUUGGCCCCCUAUUAAAAAAAUUAAAUUUUAAACCCUUAUGUUUUAGCCCCUUUGCAAAACAGACCUUUUGGUCAAUUUUGACCAGGUCAACGCGGAUGUGUCAUGCCACAUGUGUAUUUCCCCAUUUAUUUUAAAUCAAAAAGCCAAUUGUGUAAUUCUUUAAAAAAAUAAAAAAGAAAAAAGAAAAUAUAAAAGGGUUUGGCACGUGAGAGCUGCAUUUUCAGAUUCUAGUUCUAGGGUUAAACCACAAACCCUUAAGUUUCCAAAUCCAUUGUUCUUCAAUAAUCUCCUUCCAAAAUCGUUACAGAAAUCAAAUAUCCAUCACAAAUCGAAUUCCAGGUGAUUGUUCAUCUCCGUUUGUUGUGAAAAUGAAGUGGAAAGAAGAUGGAAAGGCGACGGCGAGUACGGGUUCUAGGGUGAAGAACAAAGAUGCGACGGGGAGUACAAGAACAAAGAAUAAGAAGGACGAUUCGAUGGCGACUGAAGGUUCAGUGAAGAAGAAAGAUUUGAAUAUGGAAGUUCCAUCAUCUCAUGGAAACGUGUUCUCUGGACAGAUUCCCGACAUGGAUGCUUCAAAGUAAGCGUUUUUUUGGUUUCAUAUAUUGUUUAACUAUAAAGCAAAGCUCAUGUUACAUUAUUUCUGAAUAAAAAAAGGGUUGUUGGAAGUAUUGAAUACUGUAUUUAAUUAUGCACAGUUGAAAGCUAGAAAAUGUUAAUUUUAUACUGCUUUUUGGGUUUACAUUGCUAUGAAAGGAGUAUGAGUAUAAAUAUCGUAUGAAAAUACAGUAUUCAUAUAGUAUAAAUACGGUAUAAAAAUACAGUAUUCAUACAGUUGUAAUACAAUAUGAAUUAAAUAUUAAGUGAUUUUUAUUCAAUCUUUGUAGGGCUGUUGAGGACCAUUCAUUGAAGAUAAGGUUUCACCACAAAGGGUAUUUCAUUUCUGACCCUCUUAUAGCUUAUAAGAAGGGUGAAGUAUAUGAAUUUGGUGGUGAGUUAGACAUAGAUGAGACAAACCUCAAAGAUUUGAACAACCUGGUGAGAGAGAUUGGUGUGGAAGGUGAGUAUAAGUUGUUUUAUGUCAGUCCAGGUUGGGAGUUGAGUGAUGGUCUUAGGCCUUUGAAAACUGAUAGGGAUGUCAUUAGAUUCAUAAAUGAUCAUAUAAAUCAUGGAGUUGCUAAUUUUUAUGUUGAAGCUGAUAAGGAUUUGGAAGGACUUGAUAGCAGGUAUGUGAGUGAUGAGGAAGUUAUUGUGUUAGAUAAAGGGAAAGAACCAGCUGACCUUGCAGAGGAAGAAGAAUCUGAUCCUGAGUAUGUUGGUGAUGGAGAUGAUGAGGGUGAUGAGCAUGAGUCUGAAGCUGAAAUUGGAAGUGUUGAUGGGGUGUCAAUUGAUGACAGUGAUUUUGAUGAAGAAUGGGACUGGACUUCUGUGCUGCCUAAACAAACUGUGAACCCAACUCCUAUUGCUCAGUCAUCCAACUCUUGUCAGGCAAUUAUUGCUGUUGAAGCAUCAAGGAACAGUGAGGCGACAACUGAGGUAGAUUUUGAAGAUGAGAAUGGAGACUCUGAUUUUCUAGAAAGCUGUGAAUCAAGUGAGGAUGAUGGUAUUCAAAGGAAAAAGAAGAAAUACAAUAGGUUUAAGUUUCCUGAAAAUGAUGAGACUGUGAUAUUUGAAGAGGGACAGAUUUUUGCAACUGCUUUGUUGGUAAAAAAAUGCUGUGAAAGAAUAUGCUCUACAGAAGAAGAAGAAUGUUCACUUGAAGAAAAGUGAGAAAAGGAGAAUUAUUGUGAAGUGUAGUGAUGGAUGUCCAUAUCACAUGAGAUUUAGUAGGGUUCCACCUCAAACUUUUUAUGUGUUGUCUAGUUAUAAUUCAGCACAUACAUGCACUAAUACUGGUAGAGUAAGAUUGUUAAGAACAAAGUUGCUGGCUAAGAAGCUGGUACCAACCUUGAGACACACACCUGAUAUGACCAUUAAGGCACUGCAAGAUUUGUGUAAGCGUAACUGGUCUGUAAUUCUUACUAGGUUUCAGAUGUAUAGGACAAAGUUGCAGGCUUUAGAGAUGAUACAUGGGGCUAGUGAAGAGCAAUAUGCACAUCUUAGAAACUAUGCACAAGAGCUGUUAAGAAGUAAUCCUGGGAGUACUGUGAAGAUUAAAUGUAAAGAGAUAGCUGCUGGUUUUGCAUUUCAGAGAAUAUAUGUUUGUUUUGCUGCUUGCAAGAGGGCAUUUGUCCAAAACUGCAGACCUUUGAUAGGGCUGGAUGGUUGUUUUCUGAAAGGGAGGUAUGGUGGACAGUUACUAUCAGCAAUUGGGAAAGAUGGUAACAAUCAAAUGAUCCCCAUAGCAUUUGCUAUUGUGGAAGCUGAAACCAAAGAGAGUUGGGACUGGUUUAUUGAACUACUGCUUUCAUAUUUGAAUUGCAUUCAAUGCAAAAGAUGGUCUUUCAUAUCAGACCAGCAGAAGGUAAUUUUGCAACUUUUUACUUAUUUUUAUGCUCUUAACUUAAUAUUAUGUAGAUUAAUUUUGUAUUGUUUGUAAUGAUGAAGGGUCUGGUGAAUACAAUAGCUUCUAUUGGUGAUAAUGUUGAGCACAGAUUGUGUGUGAGACAUUUGUAUGGGAAUUUUAGGAAAAGAAAUCCGGGUGAGCACUUAAAAGAAGCUUUGUGGGCUGCAGCUAGGGCAAAUACUAUGCCUGAUUUUAACAGGGCUAUGGACAAACUUAAAAGUCUUAGUCAGGCAGCUUGGGAUGAGUUGAGGCAAUAUCCACCAGGUAUGUGGAGUAGGGCAGGAUACCAUACUCACACAUGUUGUGACUUACAAGUCAAUAACAUGUGUGAUGCAUUUAACUCUUCAAUCAUUGAGUUAAGAGAGCAACCAAUUAUUUCACUUAUUGAGGGACUAAAGUUCUAUAUAACUAAUAGGAUAGUUAGAUUAAGGGAUUACAUGUUGAGAUAUUCUGGUGAUAUUUGUCCAAUGAUAAAAAAGAUAUUAGAUAAGGCUAAGAAGGAUGCAAAUAAUUGGUCACCAACUUGGCAUGGUGAUAGAGAAUAUGCUCACUUUAGUGUUUCUGAUGGAAGUGAUAUGUAUGUGAUUAAUGUCAAAGAGAGGACCUGUUCAUGUAGAAGGUGGGAAUUAAGUGGUAUUCCUUGCCCACAUGCUGUUGCAGCAAUCUACUACAAUAGCCAAAACCCAGAUGAAUAUGUGGCACAUUGGUACAGGUGAGUUGUGAUCUUAAUUUAUAUGCUUUCUGCUUUAUGUAAUCUUAAUUUAAGUGGUUAAUUAAGUAUAAUCUGGUUACAUAUGACAGGAAGCAAACUUUCUUGGAUACAUAUGAUAAUUUUAUCAUGCCUUCAAAUGGACCAAAGCUAUGGCCAGAAGUGAACCUUCCACCAAUACUACCACCUCCAGUCAGAAGGGCACCUGGGAGGCCAAAGAAGCUUAGAAGGAAGGAUAAUGAUGAGCCUAAGUCAACAACUAGCAAGAAGGGAAAGAGAAAUCAGGAGACUAUGAGGUGCACAAGAUGUAAAGAACUUGGACAUAACAUGAGGACUUGUAAGGGUAAAACAGCUGCUGAUAUAGGUCAAUUAGACCUGGAGGGAACAAGGUAAUAACACAGUUUCUGCUGUUAUAACACUUUCUGAUAGAUAACACAGGAUCUCAUAUUUAACACACUUUGUGAUAUUGUAGGAUAAUACUGAACUUCAACACCCUGAGGCUUCAAAUGCACAUGGUACAAACAACCAUGCUGAUUCUGUAACUGCUGCUCAUGUGAACAACCAUGCUUCAAAUUCACAACACUCAAAUGUACAUGCAGCUGCUACUGCUGGUACAAACAACCAUGCUGGUUCUGUAUCUGCUGCUCCUGUGAACAACCAUGCUUCAAAUGUACAACACUCAAAUGCACAACACUCAAAUGCUCAUGUAACUGCUGCAACUAGUAACACAUCUGGCAAGCAUGUUAUUGUUGGUGAUUCAUCCUUGUUUGUGCCUAGAAGAUCAAGGUUUGCUGGAGCUAAAAGGAAAAGUGAUGAGAUGGCAGCUGUGGGGACUCAACAAUCUGUGAACAAAACUUAAGUUAGGAAUGACAAUUACUGACAAUGAGACUGAUGUUAUAUUUUGAUUAAUUUAGGUUAUUUAAUGUCAAGUACUCUAUUUGAUAUUUUGGUUAAUUUUGGUUAUGUAAGGUUAAGUAUUCUAAAGUACUGGUUAUGAUGUUUUGGUUAAGUACUAUAAUGUCAAGUACUCUUCAUGUAUUUUGUAUUUGGUGAAUGUGAAGUAAUACUAUGUUAACUCCAAUGUCAAGUACUCUUUAAAUGUCAUGUGCCAAAGCUAUGAUGCAUUUCUAUUCUCUGAUCAAUGGUUGAUGUGCCAUUGUUAAAAGAAUUUAAAAGGAGAACAAUGUCAAUAAUGUGCGAUCUGUUCACAAACUCAGGGAGCAUUAUUAUUUGGAUUCUAAUCAUGCUUUCAUUUGAUGUGCCAUAGCAUUGUUAUUUGAAUUUAAAAUGAAAGCAUGAUUUCAUUUGAUAUUGGACUCUUGUUAUUUAUAACAUAUAUACAAUUUAGUCUUUCAAAGAUGUUACUUUUGUCACUUUGAUUUUAGAACAAAUCACCCCAAACUCAGGGAACUUUCACAAAGUCUCCUUCCUGAGAAAUAACUACUUAUUACAUGUCCAUCAUAGCAACAUUACAGAACUGAUAGCAGAAAUUCUUUGCUAAUAGCUUUCAUUAAUUCUUUGCCAAUAGCAGAAAUUACAUGUCCAUCAUAGCAUAGCAUAGCAACAUUACAUAACUGAUACAUUACAUCAUACCAAGCUUAAUGAAAAUCACAAACAAACUUAAAAACAACAACAUCCCUAAAACUACAAUUGUAAACUCCAACUUUUUCUCCUUCUUCUUCAUUGCAUCAUUCUUCUUCAAAAGUCCUCUAAUUAAUUUCUUCCGCCUCUCGGGCACUUCUGGAUCAAACCACCUGAAAAAACUGCAUUUUCUUCUCUGGAAAUACUUUCCACAACCAUGAAACCUCCUUCCUGGAUUUUCAUCUGUCCAAGCCGUGACCAGAGGUGAUUCAACACCACAAUAACAAACCAACCUCGAUUUGGCCAUACUUGAUGACCCAAAAACAGUUGAAGAUGAAUUGUUACCAGACAUUUUCUGUUUUCAGAUCUGCAAACACACAAAACAAAUUGAUGUGGAACUAAGAAAGGAGGUAGAGGAAGAAUCGAUGUGAAAGAAAGGAGAAGAAUUGUCGAAUAAGAUGGUUGAAUAAGAACAUAUGAAGGUUCGGUUUAUGGAGAAGAACAGAUGAAGGUUGGGUUAUGGUGGAAUAAAAACAAGAAGAAGAGAUGAAGAAGAAGGGUUGAAGAGUUGGAGUUUUUUAACGUUGGAAGCUCUCACGUGCCAAACCCAUUAUAUUUUUUUUUUCUUUUUUUAAAGUAUUACACAAUUGGCUUUUUGAUUUAAAAUAAAUGGGGAAAUACACAUGUGGCAUGACACAUCCGCGUUGACCUGAUCAAAAUUGACCAAAAGAUCUGUUUUGCAAAGGGGCUAAAACAUAAGGGUUUAAAAUUUAAUUUUUUUUAAUAGGGGGCUAAAAUCGCACCAUUCUGAAAGUUAGGGGGUUAAAACUGCAGAUUAGCCUUUUUCAUUCUAUAACAUCUAGGAUACAAUAAUCUAAAAUAUGAUAUCGAAACGACAUUUGAUACUUAGAUAUUUAAUAUUUCUGACGGAAACAUCAAUAACUUACAAUUCAUAACGGCUACAAGUCACAAUACUUGGCUUGACUAGUAAAUAUAGUUCAAGACUUUGAUAUUUUAUUCAUCUCAAAACAUACUAAUUUAAUAUACAAGAUUUUGGAUUAUAAAUAGUUCAAGACUUAUAAUUAUGCAUAACAUAAACACAAUUAUGCGCUCAAUGUCACAUUUUGUUUGAAACUUCACAAAAGAUUAAUUAUAAUAUAAACAUCAGACGAUAGUUCAUAGUAGAUUACUCAGCCAUAUCCUUACCUUUGUAUACAUGUUCAUCUAAAAAUAUAAAUGGGGAUGAGAUCUACUUAGUCGUGGAGUUUCUACUAAUUUAUAGUUCUUAUCACUUGAUCAUCAGAUUACAAUAUAAUCAUAAUUCAGACUGACAAUAUCAUUAAAUCAAUAUAAUCAUUUUUAUUUUUAUUUUGGUUUUCUUUUUGUUUUUUGGUUUUUCCUUAACAUGAAAAAGACAAACGUGAGGAUAUCCAACUCAUCAACCCGUCCGUAAGGCGUUACAUAUAGUAAACUACUCCCUCCGUUCCUUUUUAAGUGUCACAUUUGUAGAAAUUUUUUCGUUCCUAUUUAACUGUCACUUUCAAAGUUCAAUGCAACAAUAAAUGUUUUUUACCAACAUUACCCUUAGUUAAUUAUUGCGGAGAGAGAAAUAUAUGAAAUAAAAUAUUAAAAGACUAAGACUAUUAUAGUAAAAAUAUAAAUUAUUGUAUAAGAAAAAGUAACAUUUAUUAAGUGUAUUGGUUUGUGUAAAAUGUCAAAAAGUACAGUUAAAAAGGAACGGAGGUAGUAAUGCAUAUUUCCGACUCUUCUUCUCACAUUUAAAUUAUUUGUUUCUUUUAGUUAAUGGUCAAGUGUGAUUUUUAUCAUUUGAACCUGAACUACUUAUUUUCUUUGUUCAAUUAAUGAACAUAAUCUUUGUAUAUCAGUUUGUGGUAAUCAAGAAAUAACGAACUAUUUGUUUUUGGUUUGUCAUCAGUUUAGUGUCUUAAUUUUUUUUAUAAAAUUAAACUGAUAUCCAUUUUUGUGGCUGAAAAGAAACCAAAUCUGGUUUAGAUUUUGAUAUACACACAAAUGGUGGGUGAACCCUACAUUAUUUUAGGGUAAUCUUCUUGUUGAGUGUUUAGGUUUUUGCCAUCAAUAAUCCUACAUGUGUUUUCUUGUUACUCUCGACCUUUGUCGCCUCUCUGUCAAAGGCUUCUCUUUAUCUUCUAUUGGAUUUGGAUUUCCAUCACUCAAAACCCUUUCGUUGCAACUCAUUAAAUUAAAUGGAAUUCAAGAUUUCAUGUUGCUUCUAGCUGGAUCUCUAAUUCUCGAGGAUCUACGAUUGUCUGAUAUAUACAUUCAUUCUGAGGAAUAGCUUGAUUCUCUUAAAAUUCAAUAGUUUGAAACCUUAUAGCUUACCCAAAUUGACUAAAGCAGAUAUCAGUCAAUGUUUGUAUUCAUGUUAUAUGAUGAAAACAGUCUCUACUUCAUUUCUCUCUGCGUAGAUACAUCCACUUUGUACUAUAACAUAGACUACAAGGUCUGUUUCGUUACGAACAAUUACAUGAUCAACAUGUUGAACAUCGACACAUGUGAUUGGUACCAGGGCCUUCCUUGAGAAUUCGGAGGCUCGACUCUGGAAAUGAAAAGAGGCCAGUGAUAAAAUCAAAACAUAAUUUUUUUUAAAAGAGCAAUGUUCUAUUUAUAUUUUUUAAAAUUUAAAUAAUACAAACAAACUAAUAAUAUAAUCACAUGCGUUAGUGCAAUAGAAAGAGCAGAAAGACGGGCUCGAUGGUGCAUAUCUUUCCGCUAGACUAUAUGUAAAGAAAAUUACCCCUUCAUCACUUUUGGGCUGGAAUUUUCAUUCCAAAAAUACCCUCAAUUUUCAAUACAAUUAACAUUUGUAACAAAUAGAUAAGAAUAAAUUUAAAUAUUAAAAAAAUGAAACAAACACGAUAUGAUUACAUAUAUAUGUCUGUUUUUUUCCUUUAUCAUUUAAAAAGUGUAACAAAUUAGAUGAAUAUAUUUAUACUUACUUUUUCAUUAUCCCAAUUAUAUCAUUAAAAAACAAUUUUUUUCUAUGAUAAAGAUUGUUGUUGGUGUCAUUAAAAAAAAAUUGUAGAUUAUAUUUUUUGUUAUAUUGUUGGUGACGUUGAAAUAGAUAAUCAUGAUUAGUUUUCUUUGUUAUAACUAGAAAGCAACAAACAUUUAUAUUUUUAGUUUUAAUCAAAAUCGAAAUUUCAUAAAAAAAAACACCGUUCAUAAUUUUAAAAGGUUAGCGUAAUAAAAAGAGUGGAAUGACGGGUACGUGGGUGCCCAUCUUUUCGCUAGUUAGAGUCGAGUGUUUGAUGUUACUCCCUCCAUUCCUUUUUAAGUGUCUUUUUAGGAUGAAUUUUUCGUUCCUAUUUAACUGUCUUUUUGCUAUUUUAAGCGUACGAUUUGGCAAUAAUACCCUUUGUCAAUUACUUUUAUCUUUUUUUUGUAAAACUAAUUAAUGCUAUCUAUUUGAAAAAUUAAAGUUUGUUUUUUAAUCAAAGUUUGUUUGUUUUUUUAAAACAAAAUUUGUUUCUUAUUAUCUUUAAAUUUAAACAAAAUUUUGUUCGAAACAGUAGUUUCAAGAAGUGUUAAAAUUCUAUAAAUAAGAUGAGGAACAAUUGUUACAAAUUUCAAGUGUGACUCUAGCAUUAGUUAAAGCCUUAACUUUGAUUAAAGGAGUUGGAAGAAUGUUAAUUUUUUCUUAACUUUUGAUAAAUGUGAAGUUGAAAUAAUUUUUAUAUUGACUUACAAUAAUUAAAAAGAUGUCCCUUCAAAAAAAUAAUAAUUAAAAAGAUGUGCACAAUAUUUAAAAAGUUGACAAUUGUUUGUUAUGAGAGCGAGAGCGCAAAAAAAAAAAAAAAGCAAUUUGUUGGAGAAAAAGAUAAUAAUUUUUUGUUACGGGAGAAACAUAACAUAUUAAAUUUAUUGGAAAGAUAAAGUGUGUGAGAUAGGAAUUUAUUGGUGGAUUAAAAUGAGGGUAUAAUUGGAAGAAAAUGUGCAAAAAUACACAUCGCUAUUUUGGUGUUAAUUUUCUAAAAAAACACUUACAAAUGAACGGAGGGAGUAUUAUUGUAGUUUAACUUUGCUCCCUUGCUGUAUUUUUUGGUUUGGUUUGGUUUUGAUCAACACUUUGUAAUCUUGUUUUGUUUCCUUUGGCACUCCUUGUGCUAGGGACCAAAACAUUUUGUUAAUAUAUCUCAUUUUUUGGCUUGUUAAAAAAAAAACUUUGCUCCCUAUACAAUUGUUGUGUUGGAGAGAGCCUAUCGGUUAAUAUAUAAUCUCAUUUUUUUUCUUGUUAAAAAAAAUAAAAUUAUAUAUAUUUAUAACUCGACAACGGGAUAAAUAUAAUAAUAAAUAAAAAAAAUACUUAAGAAAUUUGUAACAAUAUUUUUUUUUUUAAUAAAGUAACAAUAUUUUUUGUUCUAAAAGAUUUAACCACUUUUUAUUUUAUUAUACAUAAGAUUUGACACACAAAGAUUUAAUAAAAUUUUACCCGACCCAAUCUUGGCUAUUUAAGCAAAACCUUAAAACACUUUUAGGUUAAAAUUUGCUUCCAAAACAGCAUCGUACGUAAUAGAAAUACAGAGCAGGCGGCGAUGGAUAGGAUAGGAAGUUUACCAGACGAUAUUCUGACUCGCAUACUCUCUUCUGUUCCCACCAAACAAGCCGUAGCCACAUCCAUUCUUUCAAAGCAAUGGAUUCAUCUUUGGCGUUACGUUCCCGUUCUCGACUUCACCGAAACCAACUUGGAAGACCUAGAAUCCAUUCGCCGCUUCAAGGAAUUCGUCUCUUCCGUCUUGCUCUCGCGAAAAGCCGCAGGUAAUCAUUCCAUCAACACUUUCAUCCUCGGCAUUCAACGCUAUUCCUCUCGAACUCAUGAACGCCAUUCCUCUCCAAUAACACCAACUUACUACAAUAAUAUGAGUAGGAAACUAACAUUAGCCCCUAGUUUGCCUAUUAGUAUAUUAACUUGUACAACCCUUGUUGUUCUCAAACUCCGUUGGUUUUGGUUCUUUAUGGAUGCUAAUUCUCAUUAUAAUUUUCCCUCACUAAAGACACUACAUUUGAAAGACAUUUACCUUCAUCAUCAACAUGAAUUUACGUUUCUUCUGGAUGCUUGUCCACUUCUUGAAGAUCUUCAACUAUCUAAUAUACACUUUGGCCCUUCCGCUCGUUUCUCUUCUCUAUAUCGUAACCAACAAUUAAGCGGCUCAAGCUUAAAAAGGUUGAACAAAGCAGAUAUAACCGACCAUGAUUGCUAUUUUAUGGUGAAAUCACUUUCAAAUGUGGAGUUUCUACGCAUACAACUAUGCAAGGUUUGAUGAUGCAUGCCAAUGAAAAAAAUAAUGUGAUAAAUUUCUAUUUUUAAUUUUUGCAAAUUUUACCCUAUAUUUUUAAUACUGUUUUUUUAAAUAAUGUAGGGUUAUUGUCCACCUAAUGACUUUUCUACAUUCCAUAAUUUGACUCAUCUGGUGCUCAACUAUAGCUGUGAUAUAAUUGUACAAGUGCUCCACCAUUGCCCUAAGCUUCAAAAUCUUGAAUUUUACGAGGUAUGUGUCUUAAACAUAUUUGAUUUAUCUUUUCAGUCUUGCAUUUUAUAUGUACUAUAAUUUAAAUUGAGUUACGUUUAAGGUUUUUUAUACAUAUAUCAAGAAAUGUAAUGAUGAUGUUAAAGGACGUGUCAGAUUUACUUAACUAAUCUUAUUUACUAUUCGGUUGGAAUGCUUUAUGUACACUCAAUUAAUUAAGGUACAAUUAAAAAUAAAUAAUAAUUGUACAUUAAAAAGUUGAAGUGACAUUUAUUUUAAAACAAUUUUUUUUUGUUCUUAAAAAGACACUCAUUUUUUAAAACAUGGAUGGAGUAUUAUUUUAAUCUAUAAUUACUGAAGUUGCAAGGCACCAAUUGACAGGAUUUCAGCACUACAAGAGGUUUGCAAAAUUGGGUGGAUCCUGAAUCUGUUCCAAGUUGUCUUUCAUUAAACCUUACAACUUGCAAUAUGCGGGACUUUGAUGAAGGCCAACAACGUAAUCGCAUUAUGUUAGCAAGGUUUAUUCUGCAGAAUGCAAGAGUUUUAGAAACUAUGCCAAUCUGGUGCUACAUGAGAUGGCCCAAAGCAGAAAGAGUAUUAUUCUCAUGUCCAAGGGCUUCUGUAACAUGUCAACUUUCAAUUGACUGUGGCUGCAAGUUUACUUUUAUAAGGAAAGGGAAAAGAACCAAGAAGAAUAGAAGAGCUAAGAAUGGAAGAUAAACUUGCAGAAAAGGGUGAAAGGUAUGGCUUCGGAUUGAAACCACAAACAAGAAAAGGAUUCCUUUUCAUUUGUAUUUACUAUAUGAUUGAUCUCUUGUUUGGUUCACAUAAUGUUUUUGUCAUCAUGCUUGAAUGAUGAUGGCAAUCAAAUUACAUCAACAAGAAUAACCAAGCAUUAUCCCACUAUGUUGAGUUAGCUACAUUGAUCAAAUUACGCCAUAAUAUUUUAUCGUAAAUCAUAUUUAGAUUCAACUCAUUAACUUCUAAAUCUUUCCUAAUGAUGGCAAUCAAGUUACACAAAAAAGAUUUUGGUUUCCUACUUUCCUUGAGGAAGUUGUAUGUUAAUACUUAAUACCAUAUUAAUUAUGGAGCAAUAAUAGGUAGACACCCUUAAUGUGUACACCCUUUUGUACCAAUCUGAAAAAUUUCAGUUAACCAAAUAUAUGGUAUGUGUGACCACAUUUUUUAAGUUGCGUGACCACUAUUUUUCCAUAAUUUAUUUGGUUAACUAAGUGGAAAAAUAGUGAUCACGCGCAUUUUUGUUGUGUGACCACAUUUUUCAGCUUCUAAAUAGUGGUCACGCAACUGAAAAAUGUGGUCACACAUAUAACGUGGUCACACAAUUGAAAAAUAACAAACUCGUUGAAGAAGGUAAACACUAAGUGCAUGUUUGGAUUGGCGGGAGUUCAAUAUAAUUUCAGUGUCACCGUGAUUUCGUCAAACAUGUGCUAAGCUAUGAAGCACCACCGCAUACAAGGACACAUUGACACCGGUAAAAAUUUGGAAAAAAUGAAUUAAUUAAACUUAAUCACAUAUUGGACAUAUGAACACACCUUCUAUUAUAAGUAUAAAUGCUACAUAGGUACUAAGUGACCACAAAUAAAUGUAAAUUAUGACUGCUAAUGAUUGUGAUAGUAUACUAGAAAAAUCCAAAUUAGAGACGGGUGAAAUCAGUCUCUAAAAUGCAAAAAAUCCGUCUCUAAACAAGUUAGAGACGGAAUUGGAGCAGGAUUUGGAUCCGUGGUUAAUUUUCUCGUCUCUAAGUCUAUUGGAGACGGAUUUACAGAUUCUGCUCUACCAAACAUGGAAAAAUUCCGUCUCUGAGUCAUAUAUUCCAUGUCUACAAAGAAACCAAAUUCCGUCUCUACAUAAAAUAAAUUCCGUCUCUAACUUCAAUUUUUUAAUUAAAAAAAAUCAACCUAAAGUGCUCUUAAAAAUACAUAAAUAUAGUUUGCAAAUUUGAUCAACAUAAUAAUGUCUCAUACAAGAGAAAAGUACUCUCAAAAAUACAUAAAUAUAGUUUGCAAAUAACUGAAUAAAUCAAAGUAAAACCAUCCAUUACCUAAAAAAAAAAAUAUGAUAAUGAAUCUAAAACUUUCCAAAUCUCUAAAUUGUUGUUACUAUCCCCUCCUUCAUUGACAUUAUCAUUCUCUCAUGCUCUUGACAUGUUCUUGAGCUAAUUGACAAAGCUUCGGACUAAUAUCUAAGCUAAAUAUGUAACUUCCAUCAGCCUGCAAAAUUUAAAAUAUGUGGGUCUCAAGCAUAGUUUUUGUUGUUUUCAAUAAUUAUGCGAAGAAAACAAAGCAAUGUCAAUCAAGCUAGUCAACAAAUUUUCUUUAAUAGUGCUUUAUGUAUAGAACAAUAAACAAUUAGAUUUACGGAAUGACUUACACAACUGAAGAGAAAACUUACAUGUGUAGCAUGGAUUUGGAGGCGGAAAAUCACCUUACAUUCUGUUUUCUCAAUCUUCCCCCAAGUAACCCAGACAUUGUUUUAGUAAGUUAAUCACACAUUUAAGAUGCAUUAUUGCCAAAACUUGAAGUCAUAUUCAAAAACAAUAUAUGUAGUGACAUGAAUGCAAAGGAAGUAAAAAUUAUACAUAAGAUUUAACCACUUUUUAUUUUAUUAUACAUAAGAUUUGACACACAAAGAUUUAAUAAAAUUAUACCCGACCCAAUCUUGGAUAUUUAAGCAAAACCUAAAAACACUUUUAGGUUAAAAUUUGCUUCCAAACAACAACAACUGCAGCGAUGGAUAGGUUAGGAAGUUUACCAGACGAUAUUCUGACUCGCAUACUCUCUUCUGUUCCCACCAAACAAGCCGUAGCCACAUCCAUUCUUUCGAAGCGAUGGAUUCAUCUUUGGCGUUACGUUCCCGUUCUCGACUUCACAGAAACCAACAUGGAAGACCUAGAAUCCGUUCGCCGCUUCAAGGAAUUCGUUUCUUCCUUCUUGCUCUUGCGAAAAGCCGCAGGUAAUCAUUCCAUCAACACUUUCAUCCUCGGCAUUCAACGCUAUUCCUCUCCAAUUCAUGCUCCCGGUGAUAACUACUUGGAUAUGAUGAGAAGAACAACUUACCAUAAUACGUUGAUUAGGAAACUAACAUUAGCCCCUAGUUUGCCUAUUAGUAUAUUAACUUGUACAACCCUUGUUGUUCUCAAACUCCGUUGGUUUUGGUUUUUUAAGGAUGCUAAUUCUCAUUAUAAUUUUCCCUCACUCAAAACACUACAUUUGAAAGACAUUUAUCUUCAUCAUCAACAUGAAUUUACGUUUCUUCUGGAUGCAUGUCCACUUCUUGAAGAUCUUCAACUAUCUAAUAUACACUUUGACCCUUCCGCUCGUUUCUCUUCUUUAUAUCGUAAACAACAAUUAAGAUGCUCAAGCUUAAAAAGGUUGAACAAAGCAGAUAUAACCGAUCAUGGUUGCUAUUUUAUGGUGAAAUCACUUUCAAAUGUGGAGUUUCUACGCAUACAACUAUGCAAGGUUUGAUGAUGCAUGCCAAUGAAAAAGAAUAAUGUGAUAAAUUUCUAUUUUUAAUUUUCGCGAAUUUCACCCUAUUAUUUUAAUAUUGUUUUUUUUUUCUUUCUUUCAAAUGUAGGGUUAUUGUCCACCUAAUGACUUUCCUACAUUCCAUAAUUUGACUCAUCUGGUGCUCAACUAUAACUGUGAUAUAAUUGUACAAGUGCUCUACCAUUGCCCUAAGCUUCAAAAUCUUGACUUUUAUGAGGUAUGUGUCUUAAAUAUAAGAAACUUAUUUGAUUUAUCUUUUCUUUUCUUAUCGUGCAUUUUUUAUGUACUCCAAUUUAAAAUGAUUGACAUUUAAGGUUUUUUUUUAUACAUAUGUCUGAUGAUGUUAAAGGACGUGUCAAUUUUACUUAACUAACCUUAUUUACUAUUUGGUGCAUUGAAAAUAAUGUACACUCAAUUAAUUAAGAGACAAUCAAAUAUAAAAUAAUAAUUGUAUAUUAAAAAGUUUAAGUGAUAUUCAUUUUAAAACUUUUUUUUUUUUUUUUGUUAAAUCGACAUUCAUUUUUUAAAAUGGAGGGAGUAUUAUUUUAUUCUAUUAUUAACUGAAGUUACAAGGCACCAAUUGACAGGAUUUGAACACUACAAGAGAUUAUAAACAAAAUUGGGUGGAUCCUGAAUCAGUUCCAAGUUGCCUUUCAUUAAACCUUACAACUUGCAAUAUGCGGGACUUUGUUGUUGUAGACCAACACCGUAAUCGCAUUAUGUUAGCAAGGUUUAUUCUGGAUAAUGCAAGAGUUUUAGAAACUAUGUCAAUCUGGUGCUACAAGAGAUGGCCUAAAGCAGAAAGAGUAUUAUCCUCAUGUCCAAAGGCAUCUGCAACAUGUCAACUUACAAUUGAUUGUGGCUGCAAGUUUACUUUUAAAAGGCAUAACAAAAGAACUAAGAAUGGAAGAUAAACUUGCAGAAAAGGGUGAAAGGUAUGGCUUCGGAUUGAAACCACCAACAAGAAAAAGAUUCCUUUUCAUUUGUAUUUUACUAUUUGAUUGAUCUCUUGUUUGGUUCACAUAAUGUUUUUGUCAUCAUGCUUGAAUGAUGAUGGCAAUCAAGUUACAUCAACAACAAUAACCAAGCAUUAUCCCACUAAAUUGAGUCGGCUACAUUCAUCAAAUUACGCCAAUCAUAUUUAGAUUAAACUCAUUAACUUCUAAAUCUUUCCUAAUGUUGACAAUCAAGUUACACAAAAUUGAUUUUGGUUUCCUACUUUCCUUGAGGAAGUUGUAUGUUAAUACUUAAUACCAUAUUAAUUAUGGGAUAAUAUCCAGCUUUUCUUAGUAAUGUAGCAACCAUGAAUGGGAAGUUUCUUCCUAAUUUUAAAGGGUGGUGCAAUAGGCAUAGGAAAAUAAGCUUUUGGUUUCUUGGUCACUUUUGCAAUGUGUGAGUGAAGGACCCUUAAAUUGUUAUUAUUAAUAAAAGACAAAUAACAAACACGUUGAAGAAGGUAAACACUACUAAGUGCAUGUCUGGAUCGGCAGGGAGUUCAGUAGAAUUUUGGUGUCGUCGUGAUUUCGUCAAACAUGUACUAAGCUCUGAAGCACCACCUCAUACACGGGCACAUUGACACCGGAAAAAUUUGGAAUGGAACUUAAUCCCAUGUCGGACAUGAACACACCUUCUAUUAGAAGUAUCAAUGCUACUUAGGUACUAAGUGACCACAAAUAAAUGUAAACUGCUAUAAUCAUUGUUGUCAAAAUCCCGACUUAAAUUCUAAAAUUUAGGAUUUUGUGACUUUCUUCACCUUCAACGACUUAAAUCCAUUGUAGAAUCCUAAACUAUGCAAAAUCCAUCGAUUUUGAUUGUGAUUUUACGAUUUCUUAUAUACUAAGUCAUUUAUGACUAUACACCAUUUAUAACAUAUACUUAGGAAUAUUAUUAUUUUUUUAAAUCCAUCGAUUUUGAUUGCAAUUUUACAAUUUCCUAUAUCGAUUCUACAAAAGUUCUUGAGUAAAAUCCUUCGAUUUUGAUUGCGAUUUUAUGAGUACCGAUUUUGCUAUUCCCUUUUGACCUAAAUUAAAGUCUCGAUUUUGACAACCUUUUGGCUAUAAUGAUUGUGUUAGAGAUAUGGAGUCUCUGCAUGUGAUAUGUAGUACAAAGGCUCCAUAUUUAUCAUGGGAUAUACAAAAGUUUGUGAGAAUAACUAUAUAAACAACUUUCAGUUUUUGAAAAGAAACAAAGUAGUUUAUAAACAACUGAAAAUAUGCAACCUAAACAAAAUACUCAGUCCAAAUUAUUUACUUGGAAAUUAGCAAUAUUACUUGCAAAUUCCAUAAGUAUUCCAUUUUAUGUCACAUUAUUGUUAUUGAUGUUCUAGUAGGAUUGUUUAGAAUUGAAAGAGAAAAAGAAAAAAAAAACAGCGUGCUAGACUGAUCUAUUCCCAAGGAAAGCAAGAAUUGUUCAAAUUCUUUAGGGUCUCUUUAUUUUUAUUCGAGGGGAGGUGAGAGGAGGGGAGGAAAGACAAAUCCCUCUUAAACUAAUUUUAGCUCUCCUUCAAAUUGUUUCAUUCAACCAAACUCAAUUUGUUACAAUCCCUCCGCUCCCUCUCCUCCUCUCCCUUGAAUCAAAUAAGACGAUUUUGUUUUGGUUAGAUAAAAGGAUAGAAGGGGGCCCUCUGUGGGGAGUGUUCCCCUGUUGAAGACUCGUGGAGAUGGAACCCAAAUGAAAAGUUUAUGGUUUGGUCUAAAUGAUCAUUUUGAAGAUCUGGUUUUUUUGCCUAUUAUACCUUCACACUUUCUCUGUUCAAUAAAUUUAAUGUGUUAUUUUUUCUCAUAAGAAACAUUUGUUAGUUACUCUCCCUCUCUCCAACAAAUUCAUUUUUGUUUUGGAAUAAUGCUAAGUAUAGCAAACCAAAUUGUCCCAAAGCCAUUGGGAAUGAAUGUUUUUUUUUUUUUUUUUUUUGUACAAAUUGCGAAUGAAUGUUACUGGCUAAAUAGAACUGCCAGCAGGCUUUAUUCCACAAACAUGGGAUAUAAUGACGUGCAAAUUUGUUAAACACGCCUCGGGACAAAUUUCGCUACAUAUAGCACCACUGUGUUUUGUUUUUUCUUUCUUUUUUCAUUCUAUAACAUCUAGGAUACAAUAUGAUAUCGAAACGACAUUUGAUACUUAGAUAUUUAAUAUUACUGACGGAAACAUCAACAACUUACAAUUCAUAACGGCUACAAGUCACAAUACUUGGCUUGACUAGUAAAUAGUUCAAGACUUUGAUAUUUUAUUCAUCUCAAAACAUACUAGUUCAAGACUUUGAUUACUCAGCCAUAUCCUUACCUUUGUAUACAUGUUCAUCUAAAAAUAUAAAUGGGGAUGAGAUCUACUUACUCAUGGAGUUUCUACUAAUUUAUAGUUCUUAUCACUUGAUCAUCAGAUUACAAUAUAAUCAUAAUUCAGACUCAUUAAAUCAAUAAAACUUAAGAUAUUCCAUACAACUUUGCAUGAUAAUAAUUUGUACAUACGAAAAUGACAAUUUUUAUUUUGGUUUUCUUUUUGUUUUUUUGUUUUUUCCUUAACAUGAAAAAGACAGACGUGAGGAUAUCCAACUCAUCAACCCGUCGGUAAGGCGUUACAUAUAAUAAACUAAUACAUUUCCGACUCUUCUCACAUUUAAAUUAUUCGUUUCUUUUAGUUAAUGGUCAAGCGCGACUACUUUUAUCAUUUGAACCUGAACUACUUAUUUUCUUUGUUCAAUUAAUGAACAUAAUCUUUGUAUAUCAGUUUCUGGUAAUCAAGAAAUAACGAACUAUUUGUUUUUGGUUUGUCAUCAGUUUAAAAGAAUUUGGGUUUUGGUUUUGCAAUUGUUGGGUAUAUCUCCAGUGUGCCCUUGCGGUUGUCUGAUCAUGCGUUGUUGUUUAGUUCAUUGAGUGGUUUCUCUAGAAGAAUGUGACUAUCUAUGCAUAUUUUUUUGGUUUGGGUUAUUUGGCGAGAACGAAAUUCACGUUGUUGUCUUUAGCACAAGGAACAGGUAGUGUCUUAAUUUUUUGUGGCUGAAAAGAAACCAAAUCUGGUUUAGAUUUUGAUAUACACAAAUGGUGGGUGAACCCUACAUUAUUUUAGGGUAAUCUUCUUGUUGAGUGUUUAGGUUUUUGCCAUCAAUAAUCCUACAUGUGUUUUCUUGUUACUCUCGACCGCUGGCUUCUCUUUUUCUUCUAUUGGAUUUGGAUUUCCAUCACUCAAAACCCUUUCAUUGCAACUCAUUAAAAUUAAAUUAAAUGGAAUUCAAGAUUUCAUGUUGCUUCUAGCUGGAUCUCUAAUUCUCGAGGAUCUACGAUUGUCUGAUAUAUACAUUCAUUCUAAGGAAUAGCUUGAUUCUCUUACCAUUCAAUAGUUCGAAACCUUAAGCUUACCCAAAUUGACUAAAGCAGAUAUCGGUCAAUGUUUGUUUGUAUUCAUGUUAUAUGAUGAAAACAGUCUCUACUUCAUUUCUCUCUGCGUAGAUACAUCCACUUUGUACUACAACAUAGACUACAAGGUCCGUUUCGUUACGAAUAAUUACAUGGAUCAACAUGUUGAACAUCGACACAUGUGAUUGGUACAUUCAAAUAACUUCAUUUUCUCAAAUUAAUACUAGUGUUAUUGUGUUGUAUCAUGUACUAGUUCUUCAUAUAUCUCAAUUGAAUACUUGAAUGGGAUUGAUGACAAAUAACAAAGCCAAAAUAUGAUUUAUCUGGAUUUUUUUGUUUGUGGAGUUUUGGCUUAAUUUGAUAAUGUGAUUUUUGUUACCUAAUUUAGGUGAAUCGGCUGCAACACUCUUAUGAUGACAUUAUCGUCUUUCAUAAUUUGACCCGCUUGGAACUCCAUAAUUAUUGGAGUUUGGUAUUAUAAGUGCUUCAAUGCCUUAACCUUCAAAAUCUCAAACUUUUUCAGGUUUGAGGCACAUGUUAGUAUAUUUGUCUUUGAGGCCUUAACCUACGUUUUGCUAUUCAAAAGAUUUCAGGAAGAAAUAUACAAACAAAUCAAAAUUGAUAUUCAAAUUUUUAGAAAGAAAUAUACAAGAAAUUAAAAUUGGUCAUGAUAACAUGUUAUUGGUCAAAACGUUAUAUUUCACUCAAGAUUUAUCCACUGAUAUGGUAAAACAAUAUCAUAUGCUCUUGAUCCAAAAAAAUGUGACUUCAUAUAUUAUUUCAACGAAUAGCUUCAGGUCACCAAGCAUAAUGAGUUCAUUGAUAUAACAAUACCAUUUAACUUUCUCUACGUGAAAUAGGUUUAUCUUACUCUCAAAAACCAAAAUCAAGCUAUAUAUUUCAAACUUUUCUGAUGAAAGUAUGUAUUAGGCCAUCUUGAGGAUCACUUGUUAUGGCAUCCAUACUCCAAUGUAAACAACAUUAGCAUAACCGGUGAUCAUAACUUAAAGCUAGUGUUGCAACUUAAAUGAUCCAUUUAAAAUUACGUUUUUUUAAAAGACUAACCUAAUACAAACGUAAAAACUUAAAGGAUCUUUGAAUAUAUUUAGCAUUUUUAUAUGUCUUGUAAACUUAGUGCCUUUAUGGCACAACGUUAACAAUCCCAAAGAUAGUUUUGCAUUGAAAAUACAAUAUUUUAACUGUUAAAAAGUUGAACGCUUGACUUUUAAGAUGAAUAUAUUGAGAUUCUUGCUAUGUGCACUUGGGGUGCAUAUUCACUUGGGGUACAUAUUAGUAUUUCCCUUUCUAUAAGGCUUUGUUCGUGAGUCUAAUGGAGAAUGGAGGGGAAGGCUAUGGAAAUAAGGAAGAAACAAGUGAAAGAAAUAUAGAAAACUAGGAGGGAAGGACUUUUGGGGGUUCAUUUUUCUUCAUAACACAAAUUCCUCCUCGUUUGGGUGAACUAAAAAAUUACAUUGGAGGAUGGUUUUCGAGGGUUUGUGUGAAUUCUUUAAAUUUAUUCUAUGUUGUUAUAAUAUUUUUUAAAUUAAAAAUAUAUUAAUCAUAAACAUUACUGUAUAAUUCUCAAAAAAAAAAAAAAUCUUUGAAAAAUAGUGAUUUUUUCUUUCUAUUUCUCCCUAUAUUUCUCACCCUCAAAGUCUUUUCUUCUCCUCCGCUCCAAACUCUCAAACAAAUUAUACCUUAAUAGUUAUAGGGGCAAUAAAAGAAUAUAUAUGUGUGUGUGUGAUGUUGGUGUUCCUCGCCUAAUUAUAGAAUGGUAAUUGAUAUAAUUUAAAAUUUGUCCAUAAAAUAAUAUAACGUAAUUUAUUUAAACAGCUAUUUGAUAGAUCAUAGAUGCAUAUUGUAUAAAUGUAAUAGAUGUUAAAAUUUACAACCAUGUUGAGUUCUAACAUAUAUAAUAUUCACUUUCACAUGAUAUCCAUGAUUCAAAUAGUUAAAUUUAAUACAUUUAUUUUUUAAGAAAGUCAUAUUUAAUACAUGAAAAAUGAGAAAGAUAGAUAUUUGUUUUGUAAAAUGUAGUGAUGGUUCAUGGUAGUAGUUGGUGUUAUUGUUUGUGAUUGAAAUGCAUACCUUUAAGAGUUUGGAGUCAUGCUUAGUUUAUGAAAAUGAUAAAAAAAUCAAUUAUGUGAUUCAUCUAAUACUCAAAAUUAUUAUUUUUUAAUUUGAAAAUAUAUGAUAUAUAUUAAUUAUGUUUUGGCUUAAUUGAUCAAGUGGUCCCUUAACUUAAUUAUUUAUUUCAAAGUGGUCCUCAAACUAAAAAAUGGUCAUAAUAUUUGCUUCCGUUUGUCAAUUUAGUUCAAUUCCGUUAAUUUUAACCCCUAACGUGUAAGAUAGACCAUAAUUGAAGGUGGUCUACCAUAGACUUUAUUAAUCUUUUUAAUUUGAGCCCUUUGAUUUUUGUCUAUAAAUGAGAACCGUUGGAUCACGCAUGUCUAUCGUAUCUUAUAGUAAACCAAUAACUGAUUUCUAUUCCCUUUCUUCAUCUUCUUCCUUUCAUUUCUUCAUCAUCAUCAACAACAUCUUCAUAUACCUUCAUCAAUCUUCAAACAUUAAAAUCUAGAAUACCCCCCAAGUUCAAAAAAGUUGUGAGUUUGGCCCCCUGUGAACAAAAAUGACAAUUUUGGUCCCCUAAGAUUUAGCCUAUUUGCAACUUUAAUCCUUUUUGUCAACUUUGACUUAUUCAACGCCUACGUUAGUAGGAUUAAAUGUAGGGAGGAUAUACUGAUCCCUUAACUUAAUUAUUCAACUUUUGCGGUCUAUGUCAAAUCCCCGAUUCAAUUGGAUGUCUAUACUGGUUAGUAGGAUUAAAUGUAGGGAGGAUAAACAAUACAAUUAAAUUUUUCAUCUUCUUCAAAACAACAUCAAUAACUUCUCACAAAACCCAAAAAAAUGUUUUGAAGUUACUAGUCACUACUUCACUCAAAGGUAGGAACCUUCCAAUCACUUCCCUUAGUUUCCUUCUUUGACCGUAACACUAUCCUAAACCUUUCAAUUUUUAUUUUAACAACCCAAGUUUUUUAUUCAAGCUCCGCCACCGUAGACAAAUGAAACAAUUAUAAUCAUAUGAAUAAGAGAUGGGUACCAUUAUUUUAGUUUCCACAUAGCACUAAAACUAACCAUGUAUGCAAGAAUUUGAAACCAAAAUAUGAGAACAAAACAAAGACAUGAACAAUUGUCUAGAUGCAGAACAAAUUACAAACACAUGAAAGACACAAACAAGUGCAGCCACGAAUUGUCGCAAAAAGAGCCCAUGAUGUCAUUGCAAGAUUUGACAAAUAUAAAUCUUUCCAGAAAACUGUGUUUUCAGUAUCAUUUUUGCUCCAAAACACCAGGAAGAUACGAAAAUACCUCCAACGAUAGUUAGGCGCAACAACAACAUUAGCCAACAUCAGUUAACUGCUGCCUAGAGGUAUUUUCAUAUUUCCCUGAUGUUUUGGAGCAAAAAUGAUAGUGAGAAGAACAAUUUUCAUUUUGCAAAGUCACGUUUUCAAGGAACACAUGACAGUGGGUUAGAUUAGACCAACAUAGUUGUGAUGUCAAUGUGCUAACAUGAUACAACCUUCUCCAAUUUUGCAUAAAAAAUAAUAUAUAAUUCACAUACACACUCUUUCUCUCAUCCCUUUCUCUCUCAAUUUAGUCCAUGUCUUUAGUUUCUUGGAGUACAAGAAACAGUUUUGCACUAACAAAUCGGUAUUAUAAGCCCGCUGGUUCAUGAGUGUAGAGUACACAAAUUUUGGGAUUAAGAAUUCAUUAUCAACUGAGCUAAUAUGGCGGGUGGUAAUGAUUUUCCAGGCCCACUCCCAAUUCUUGAUGACAAGAACCGGGAAAAAAGGCAAAUCUAAAUGAAUGCGCUAUUCAGAUUUCAAGAUGUUCUUAUGGAGUUGAAGAACUUUCUGCAAACCAUUCAUUAGUUCAAAGAACUGUUCAUAAAGAUGCAAAGAAGAAAGAUUGCAAAUCCAUUCUUUAUACAUCAAAGUGUUGAAGCUGGCAAUUUUGAUAGGAUUUUUAAUGCAACUUGUUCAAAGGAUGCAUGAUAUUUAAUGGUCAAGUACUGUGAACGUGGUGACAAAGUCAAGAAAGGGAAAUUGCAAUAACUUAGAAGACAAUAAAAGAUUGUUGUGUAUGUGGCAAGGGCUUCAAACACUAGUGCCCUCAAUGAACAAUUAUGGUGAGAACACCACUGAUCAAGUGAUCAAUGAGAAAAUAAGGAGGACAAUGACACCUCUUUUCGAUCAUCAAUAUUCAUAUUUGAGCUCCUUUUCCACUUUUGAAUCAAACACAAUAACAAGAUUAUAUCCCUCUUCAUUUUUGAAGCUAAAUAUUACUACAUUGGUACAUAAAUUAGACUAUAAUUAACUACAACAAGUCUUAACAUUUGGGUAAAUCCCUAGGGGGUGGAAGCAUUUGUGUCUGAGGAUUAGGACCAUCUUUCACCAGAAACACCAUACUCAUUCCCCAAGUAGCAUGUCGUUCUAUGUGGCAAUGCAGCAACCACAUACCUGAUCAUAUUAAUACAUACAAAUCAAAUACAAUGUUAUAACUUUGAUUUGGUUUAAAUACGUUUUUAGUCAUAGAAGAAGUAUAUUAUUUUUAUUUUUAGUCUUUGCAAAUAUAUCACAUUUUGCUUUUGAUCUUUGGUGAUUUAUUUUAGCUCUUGUAAAAUUUAUUUACACUAAAAUUCGUUCGUGAAAGACUAAAAUCAAAUAUUCUGCGAUAAAUUUCAAUAUGAAUAAAUUUUGAAAAACUUACUAUUAAAAUAAAUGAAAUGUUUGAAAAACUUCACCUGGAUUAUCAGCCCUGAAUCUGAUAGCAACCCAACCAUUAUUUGGUACUCCAACUGUAGUUUCCUCUGGUGGAUCAAUAAGAUUAUAGUUUUUAGGAUCAUUUUUAGGAUCAAAAUUCCCAAAACCCCAACCAAUUACAUAGAAACUAUAUCCAUGCAAAUGAACAGGGUGAUUAUCACUUGCUAACACAUUAGUCCCUUGCAGUACAAGCUCAACACUUGCAUCAUAGUCCAAAACCAACACCUUUGUGCCAAAUGAUGUACUCAAAAAAUAUUCUGGUAACUUAUCAGCUGUGUAAUUGAAUUCCCUUGUUGGAAUUCUUGGAAAAUCCAUUUCAAAUACACCAGGGAUUUUAUAAUAAUAGGCACUUAGAAAAUCAAUAUAUGGAUGCACUAGACUAAUGUUGUUCACACUAGCUGCAAACCUUUUUCCGAACGGACCGGUGCAGGGUUUAUCUUGAGUACAGUUGAGCAAAUUAACAGAAAUUGUGAACAACAAAUGUGUGUCAACUUCUGUAGGAACAUUUAUUGGAUGAGUUUUUGUAGCAAGGCUUCUGAAUUUCUUUGUAAAGCUAGUCGAUGCUUGUGUUUUGUUGUAAGGAGGAAGUUGAGGAAGAAUUGGCUUUUUUUUGUGAUGAUGGUGAUGAGAAUCAGUAUAUAUAAGUAAAGCUGUUGUGGUUGUGUUAUCAAAACCAGCACCAAAAGUACUAGAGUAUGAUCUUGCAGCCAUGAAAUAAUGACCAAGAGGUUGAUUUGCUUCCAUUAGAAUGUCCAUAGAUUGGCCAGGUGUGAUCAUUAUGUAAUCUGUUUUUAUUGGUUUUAAGUAUAAUCCAUCUUUACCAACUACUGUCAAUUUGUGAUUUUUAAUGGCAAAGAAAAGUUCUUCAUCCAUUACUCCAUUGAUUAUUCGAAGAAGAUAUGUUUUUCCAUAGUCCACAAUCAUCUUGAAAGUAUCUAUGAAUAUCACAAGAAAAAAUUAAUGUUAGGGUAAGAAUUUUUUUAUACAUAACAUAUGUAGAGUUUAAUAAUUAUAUAGACCGACAAAGAGGAAUGUUAACGGCACAUCCUUUGACACACACUCUUUGAUUCGUUAAAAUAUGAUUGAUAGCGUAGGAGGGGGGUGGACCUUUUUUGGAGCAGGGAUAUAGAUAACCAGGUUGACCAUUUAUGGUAUAUGCAUUUGAUAGAAUUGGUUCUCCUCCAGUUUUGUUUGCUACAUUUGGAAUUUCCAUUACUUGUUCUUUCCACCACUCUCCUACACAAUAAUGAAAAUGUCAAUAUAGGAAUUGAACUAAUAAUCAAAUUUUGUUGUAUAACUUGUAUUUGUGAUAUAGAUUAAUUUAAGUUUUGAUAAAACUAAAAUUAGUCAAUACUAGUAAGUGAUAAUUUGCUUACACAAUGUCAUGCCAUGAAUUAAGUUGUUAUUUGUUAUAUUAUCAAAAUUCAGCUAGCCUCAAGUUUCAUAGUAGGAGGAAAGGUCAAAAUUAAGGACCAAAAUCUUAAAUGAGACAAAAUAAAAGGAUUAAAGUUGUAUUAAGCCAUUAAAAUAAAAGGGUAAGGAGUGAGAACCUAGUAUAAUUGGAACCUCAGCAUGAGGUUUAGGAAAGGGAUAAGUGUGUCCAUGUUUGGGAUAAAUGAUGACAGCCCCAUGAACUGUAGCUCUUGCCCAACCAUUAUGUGCAUGCCACCAUAUUGUUCCUUCUUCUGUGGUCAAAUGUAUAAUUUGUUUGAACAUAUUUCCUGAUUUAAUUGGGCAUUGUGUUAUGUAUUCAGGUCCAUCUGACCAUGGAUUCCUCACUUGUCUUGCUCCAUGCCUGCAAUCAAACACUUCCAAUUAAUCAUAUACUAGACCACGAUGCUUAGAUACAUACAUGUGCACCAUUGAUAAAUAACUUUGGUACAUGUCAAAUUACUAGAUAAAUGUUUAAACUAAAGCUAAAAAAAAUUGUACAAAUUAUAUGGUUUGGGAAGACACAUACCAAUGUAUUGUUAUGUUAUAAUCUGCCUGGUUAUAAACCUUGACUAUAAGCGUAUCUCCUCUAUGAGCUUUCAAUGUUGGACCUGGAAAUUCCCCAUUUACCGUCAAGAUGUUCUUGGUACUACAUAGUCUUGUGAAAGAUGAAGAUUUUACCUGCAGAAAACACAAAUAGUUUUAUUUACAAAUUAAUUGUGCGUUACCACCAUCAUCAUUAAUUACUGUGAUAGAGAAGAGAAAUUAAGAAACACAUACCACAAACUUGUGAUGAUGAACUUUUCCAUUUGCAGUAUGAAUCAGAUAAACAUAAAGUAUAGAGAGUGCAAAAAAAUUUAAGGUCUUGAACUUGUUGGAGACCAUCAUUUGGCUAGAAUCAUAUGACAUUGCUAUGGUCUCAAAUGUUUAUACUUAUAAGGGAAAUUCAUUUUCCCUUCAAAAAUAAAAAGGGCAAUUCUUUUUAGAAUUUUCUUUAUUAUAAUUAUGUUUUUCGAUUCUGUAAUAAACUCAACAAUUUACCUUCUAUACAAUUUUUUAUUUUCCUUUUGAGACUAUAAAGAUUUUGCUCACAAAUUUACCUUCUGUGAUAAGUUUUUCCGUUGUUGUACAUUCUCUCUACCUUUUUUGGUUGAGAUUUGAAUAUUGAUUCACUUCGUUGUGAAAGUCUAGUCUCUUCUGCUACAUUCAAUCUCAAUUGAUUAUAACCGAUGAUUUUUUUUUUUGGUGUAAUGUAACUGGGAAUCUUAUCAAGCCUUUUUUGGAUUAUUCUUAUAAUAUUAAGUAUGAAAUUUGAUUUAACUUUUUUUUUUGACAAAAUGAAAUUUGCUUUAUCUUCUUUAGCAAAAAAUUGAAAUUUGUUUUAACUGUCUUACCUAUGAAAUUAAUUAACAUAGUUAGUCUGAAUAUUCAAACUUCAUAAAAGGAAACUGAAAAUUUUAAAAGGAAACUAAAUCAUUACCCAAAAGCUAAUAUAUUAAAAAUACUUUUAUUUUUUGAAUGAAUUAAAUAUAUUUAUUAAUAAUUAAAAAUAAACUAGAGUAGAGUGAGAGUAGGUGAGAAUGAAAAGAGAUGGAGAAGGUUAUUGUUUAAAAAAUGAGAAAAAGAUAUUUGGACAACCUAAGUUGUCAACCACCUGGAGAGGAAACAUAAAAAUUAGUCCGUCCUAGUGAGAGAAAUUCUAACUUCUCUUUAAACUUUUUCUCCUUCGUAGGGUGGUUUUAGGUUAUUUUUUGAUCUAGAAUCACCCCUCUACAUCUUUUUUCCCUUUUCUUUCAAUUUAAAUAAGUGAUUUUCACACAUAUCAAGAUUUUUUUUUUUUGUGAUUUCGUCGUCUAAGUACGACGUUGUGUUGUUCUUCGUCUUGUGCGGCGUUUGAUUUCGCGUUUUGUCGCGGUGUUUGUUUAUUUCCUAUUGAAAGAUCGGCAUCAGUCAAUUACAAAUUCAACCAAUGAUUUGGGCGUCAACGUUGAAGAUCCGGAAGCAUGUGAAUUUCGGUGACUUAGGUUUUAUCAGAUUAUUUGUAGGCAUUUUACCGUUUAAUGCUAUUAACUUGGGUGUUGUGAGUUUGUUCGCAGAUUCACCUUUAACGUUUUUAGCGAUGUUUGUAUCUGAUGUAAUCUAUCGAUUUGAAUGAAUGAAUAUCAUUUUGUUUUUGUCAAAAAAAAAAGUUGUCAACCACCUAGUAUAUUAUCUCAUCUUUUUUUUUAUUUUUUAUCUUAGAAGUGUUAUUUGAACAAUUAUUUAGUUGAUAAUUUAUAGGACAACCAUAAUUUAUAAAGAAAAAAAUAGGCAUUUGUACAAAAACUAAAGCAAUAGAGAGAUAAAUUAAAAAGUAAUGUAAGUAUGAGAGAAAAAAUUGUCACAAAAAUUAUCAUAAAAUGAAUAUUUAAAUAUCAUUUCUCUUUUUAUUGUUAAGCAGUGUGGAAGCCUAAAAUAUACUCUUCAAUGUGCCCAAGCACCAAGUGUAUGGGAGUGUGUGUGGGAGGUGUAAUUAGAGAAGAGAAAGUCUUACAUAGAUACAACAAUAAAUAAAAUUAAAUGAUAAAUAAAUUAGUCACAUCAUUAAGCCAAUUUAUUUUUAAAAGAAAAAGCAUUUGUGUGAGUGUGCUCAAACCUUUUACAUUGUGUUUGUCCCUAAGUAAAACAUUUCUCCUAAAAAAAAUAGAUUAAAACUUUUUCAAACAAGC
rnacentral:lncRNA from 1 species